ACUCAGCCGGGCAUGCCGCGUUAACAUUCGCAUCGCAAGUCGAGGCCUGGCACUUGCCGGUGCCGCCUUGUGGGGCGACGGACAUGGGCAAGUUGAAGCCGUCAACAAGGCUAACAUCGUAAAAAUCUAGACCCUCGAUUCCUGCGAUUGUGAUUUCUACUAAAGUUGCUGGUGGAGCUCCGCCUGCACCGUUGCAUGCGACCUGGCCAGAGCCACAGUCUGCAGUUUCACAAGUGAAAUUUCCAACGGCGUCUGUGGAGCAUCUGGUUCGGGCCCAGAAGCGACCAGACCAUGAGGAUGGAGUGUCUAUUGACCGGCUAGCUUUGGAUGCUAGUUCGAACCCGGUGAGUGAUAAUUGAGGUUUUUGGUUAGUGGUUAGGGUUCCUGGCCAGACAGUGUAGGAGCAGUGGUUUGUGAAAGUGAUUUUUGCUGCAUGUGCACCUGCAUUUAUAUUCAACAUAAAACUAGAUGCUAAGAAUAUUGAAAUCUAAAUACAAUUGUUGACAAAAAUUGUAAACUAAAUAAUAUGUCACUAAUACGAAUGAACACAUUUAUUAAAAUUAAAGUAAUAAACCAAUUAUUAACUUCCAUGUCCUUUAGUUUCCAAAAUUUUGUUUACAAAUUUUAUCUCCCUAGCAUUACCCAUAAAUAAAUAAACAAUUUGAAAUCAUAUUAAGAACUUUUUUCAUAACUAAUCAGUAGUUUUAUUAUAAAUAUACUUUGAUGAUGAUUCAUCCAAUCUCAUGCUCUCAUCACCGCAUUGGCCGGCUUACUUCUAUAUAUCCGUAUUUUUCAUCAUCGAUCGUUAUUCUCUUUUAGACUCCCUACCGUCACUUUUGACGUUGUUACAAUGUAAAGCGUAAUAAGGGUAAAUUGUAAACAAGUCUACUGAAGACCGCUGAGUUUGUUAUAAGGCAGUUGUAACAGUUUUGUAAUUAGUUUGUGAUUAGUUAGACAAGAUGUAAUUAGUUGUUAAUACAAGUGAGUUAGUCACUGGUAUAUAUACACCAACAUGUAAUCUUAUUCCUUGGAGAUGUUUUGAUAUAGGUGCCUUAUUUUUGAAUUUUAUAGACUAAACAUCUAUGCCUUUUAGAGAUUUGAUUAAACUCUUCUUCUCAUCAUUUUGUUGCCACAUAUAUUAGAAUUAAUCAUUUUUUAUACCAAAAUUACAUGACCUGCCACUACUCCAUAUUUCUUAAUCUCACGCCAAAAAAGUGCACAGCGUAUUGAACCAAACUUCCUAUAAUCAAGCAUUUUGAUUACCUUCUCCCCCUUUGGAGAUAAUUGUAAACAAAAAAACCCUAGUUAAAUACAAUUUAUUUUCACAAUACUUCCUACAAUUUAGCAAUGAUUUCUACGAUUUAAUAUUUUAUUCCCAAAAGGGUUGAAAAUAUUUUUAAAUCUCACGAAAUCAAAUGUACCAAUAUAAUUUUUUAUAUCAAUACAUUAAGAGAAAAUAGGACUAACAACAAUAUAAACGUACCAAUAAAUAAAGUGUAUGAAAUCAAACGUACCAAAAUCAAAAGUAAUGUACCAAUAUCAACAAUAUGUACCAAAUCAAACGUACCAAAACUGCAAAUAAACGUACCAAUCAAUGUUUUUUACAAAUUAAAACGUACCUAACGGCAGUAUACACAUAAUAUGUUGUACCUAAUAAUAGUUUGUCAACAACUAUAAGUAAAAAUAAAAAAAAUGAAAAAUAAAAAACAAAGAAAAAUAGUUUGACAAAAAAAAGGGGAAAAAUUACACAGUGCUUUGUUGGAUCGCCAACCAUUUGACAAAAAUAGAUAAUAUUAAUGUUUGUAGAACAAAAAAAUUAUUUUGAUCAAAAAAUUAUAAUUGGAAAAAGGGAUAAUAGAGUUAAUAACUAAUACUCCACUAAAUAAGGGGAAAAACGCAUAAAAAACAUAAGAGGAUAAAUUUAGAAAUUAAUAAUUAACAUUUUAUUUUAAGAAAAUACAAUAAUGAUAUGUAAUUUAAUUUAACAGAAAAUUGUGAGGUGUCUAUUGGUCAAAGCACUUUAAUCAAAUUUUGAAAAGGCACAAAUGUUUAGUCUAAAAGAUAUAAAAAAGUUGUAGGGGAUUCUAAUUUUCCCUAUUCCUUAUGAAAUGAAAGCAUAAUUUUUCUAUUAUGGUAUCUCUCCCCCGUGUCUAACGACCUUUCGAUCCUCCUUUCUUCUGCUUCUCAAAUUCAACCUGCUCCUAUGAAUUCUUGCCCUAAUUCCUCAAUUCUUUUGACAAUUUCUUUGAUUACGAUCCAGAAUAUUGGAUCUAUGGUUCCAAUUAAGCUCACCACAACGAACUAUCUCACCUGAAGUGCGCUGUUUGCUUCGAUCUUCCGCCGAUAGUCUCACCGGAAUUAUUGACGGCACGAUGACUGCUCCGCCCAAAUUUCUUCUUGAUUCGUCUGGAAAUCGCACCUCUACCUCUGAAUCCUCAGUAUGUGACAUGGUUCGAAAAUGAUCAGGACAUUCUGAUCUGGAUCAAUUCUACACUCUCAAAUUCUCUCAUCCCAUACACUGUUGGAGUCAACCCCUCUCUAGUAUUUGCAUCCGGCAGGCAUGCAUAUUAUAGACUAAUACGAAACAAAAUAGAAAAGAAAUUAAUAAGAAGUUUUGUAUAAUAAUACCUGAGAAGAAGAGGAUGGCCAUGGUGAGGCCGAGGAGGGAAGCUACUUGUCUCUUCAUCAUCGUCGUUGAAUAUAUCUUAAUUGCCUGCUUGUUGCUAAUUAGCUUGAACUUAUGAAUCUCACUGACCGAUCCACUAAGGGGCGGGAUGGGUCAACUGACCCUCCCAACUUUCGCACACCUCCGUGAGAGAUCCAAGUGCUGCCCUUUGAAGCUUAGAAUUGUCCUUGAGAUAUGCCCUCCAACUGCUCGAUGAAAUGCUUCAAUGAACAUUGGGCACGGCAAGGCAUUAUGUUCUUUGCAGCUGAUAUGCAACAAAACUAGAUCAAUUUAUAUGUUCUCUUGACAAUAAGACCUGACCACUUUAAAAAAUAAAAAAUCACUUAUCCUUCUAGUCUAGACAUAUAUAAACCCAAGUCUAUAAUCAUAAUUUCUAUCAAUUCCAGCCCAAAUUCUAGAUCUUUAAAAUUUCAAUUUUCCUUUAUUAAUACAUUUUCAAAAUAUGAAACCGCGUCGUGGAUAAGCAAUUGUAGUUUGUAAUGUUAUUUUAUGAAUUUUAGAUUUAUGAUUUAAUUUCUAAAGCUAUUUAUUUGUCAAAGAAAUAUUUGUGAAUUUUAUACAUUGCGGGUCUAAGUUCAACGCUGACAAGUAAAACGAACAAGCUCUAAAGGAGAUGGAACAAGCACUAGAAGGCUUGAAUUGUCAGCUUCGAUUUUCCUCUCCCAUCCAUUUUUAAUAGUAACUUAGUCUCUGUGUGACUUGGUCUGCAAAGUUUUUUUUUCUUUUUUUUUCUUUUCUUUUUUCCAAACGGUCUCCAAAGUUAGUACAUAUUAUUCAUACCCUAUUACAUUUUUAUCUAAUUUUUGGUUAAAUUUGUUUAGUAUUAAAAAUUUUAAGAUUGAAGGUUUUAGAGAUGACUUAUCAAGUAUUUCUCAUAAAUUCUACAAAUUAAUUUGACUUUUUGAUAUUUUUCACUUCAUUAAAAGGGUAAUUGUCUCUCAUAUAUAAAAAGUGUAUCAAAUUUCAAUUUGUAGGGAACAAAUUCCACAUGUCCGUAGAAUUACUUGAACAUCCUUGCAAUCAAGAAUUAAAAUGAUAAAUUAGAUCUGGUCAUACCUGUUUGGUGUUAAUGGAUUUGUGAUUCAAUUGAAGAUAUACUUAUAUUAUGUAGUUUUACUUUUAAUUACACAAAGUUUGUUUGUUUUUUAAUGAUAAAACCCUCACUCCCCCCCCCCCAUCGUUUUGUGUACAUGAUAAAAUGAAGAUCGAGAGACUAUACAUGUGUGUAGUUACUAGUAAGCCGCUAACUCGUCCCUCUCAAACCUUCAUGGUAUUGCUUUUGUAACAUGCAUUAUUGUAGAAUUACUACAUGCAUAAUCUAUUAGGUGUGGGUUGUCACAAAUAGGCGUCAGUAUUAGUUUCAGUGGAGAUAUGAUAUUUAAACUUUUUUUAUUUUAGAGAUACAAUCCAUGUGGAAUAUUUCAACAUAUAUACUAAGCAAUAAAAUAAGAAGAAUAUGUUGAUUAUGUUUUAUGCGGUCGUAUGGUUUGGCAUGCAAAGACGUGGAAGCUUAUAAUCCCCUUCGAUUCACAUCCGUAGAUCCAAAUUUACAAAAUCUGUUUUAUUUUGCAUUUCAUGGCAAGACUGUCUUUAUGUAUAUUUGUCAUUAAACCUCACAAAUCACAAAAAUGUUUGUUUUUCAUCCGGAAUCUUUCUAUUUUCACACUAUUUCGGAGAAUUCUGACCAAAAAUAAAACAUGCCAAAAGAAUCCAAAAACUUUUUAAUGGCGAGUUCGAUGCUAACUUAUUGGCGAGUUUGAUAAGUCUUAGGUUAUAAUCUUUUUAAUGAAAAGUUUUAGAUUAGAAUCCUUUUAACAACAAGUUCGAUAGUAAUUUACUUUUCUUAGCGUAUAUAAAUAUUGUGGAUGCAAAUUUCCGCCUUCUUCUCUUUUGACGAAAAUGCACCUGCAAAAUAAUAACACAUAAUAUUAAGGCCAAAAGCCUCACGCGCCCACGAUGAAUGGGAGGCUUUGGCCGAAGAAUCUCCGAUGCCAAAGUUAGAAUUUGAGAGAGAGUGUUUAGGAAUUUUUUGGGAGAGAAUCCACUAGCAUUUUAGUGGGAAAACAUGACUAUUUAUAGGGGAGUGAUCGGCCCUAUUUGGAGAAUAGGGGCCUACCACAUAUGGUCACAUUGUGAGUGUAAUUGCAAGAUAUUAUAUGAAAUAAUAUAUUGCAGUUAACUUGGCAAUUAAUCCCAAAUUAAUUAGGAAAUUUGAGAGUUACCUUUUGAGUGAGGAUUUGAUGAGGCGUGAUGAGAGGGUUUUAAAUAUGUAUCAUUUUGAUCACCUUUGACUCUUCCUUGAUUGAGUCGUUAUUGUCCGUUGCAUACGCAUGAGAAUCCUGGUAUGCCUCGAAGGUAAUUUUGUCAUUUUUACCCAAAAGUACACAUGUCACCUCCAUAAUUUUCUUGAUUAUUUUUUGCUCCAUAAAUAUCGUUAUAAAACAUAUAACCAAAAACUCAAUGGAAAAGAUGGACAGGGGGCGGGGCCACUCGAUGGGGGCGUUAACUAACUUAUUGGCAAGUUCAAUAAGUCUUAGGUUAUAAUCUUUUUAAUGAAAAGUAAGUUUUAGAUAAGAAUCAUUUUAACGGCGAAUUCGAUAGUAAUUUACUUUUCUUAGCGUAUAUAAAUAUAUCGUUGUAUUAAAAAUAUAACCAAAAACUCAAUGAAAAAUACGGACGGGGGGUGGGCGGGGUACCUAGCCUAUGAAAAAUAUGGAUGGGGGACAAGGGGAUCCCUUAUACCUCACUUUAAAGGGAGAAAGAGAGCAAACCCUAGUCCAUAUAACCUCCAUGUCAAUUGUAACCUUCAUUGAUAUAGUAAAAACAACUCGACACAAUAUGGACAUAGCCCAAACUAGAGGUGAACUAUGAUCAUGGAAGAAAAUGCCGAUAAUAUCGGCGAAAUAUCGCCGAUAUUAUCGGUUUUUCGGGGUAUGGAUAUUCUAAGUGGUAUCCGAGUGGUUUUCGGCCAAAUAUCGCGAUAUUAUCGAUAAUAUCGCGAUAUUUUGGAAAUAUCGGCGAAAUUUCCAUGGUUUGGUGCAAUCGGACUCCGAGGCGACGUCGGAGAAGAACGCCGGAGACGGUGUGCCUAUUCCCGGGCCGGGUUUCGUCCCAAAAACCUUGCAAAAACACGAAUUUUAACAUCAAUUUCACAUAUAAACUUCAUAUUUCACGCAUGCAUCAACUAUUCAACAUAGGUGAAGUCGGUUUAGGGUUUAGGGUUUGAAUGGAAUCUCACCUGACGAAGACGAAGACGAACCAGAUGACUGAACGCGAUCCUUGCUCAGCGGCGCACCGCCACAGACGACUGAGACAACUCUGACUUCGCCAGAGCCACGAUCAACGGCGAAGGGAGAAGAGAGAUCGAGAGAUCUCUGUGUGUGUGUGUGUGUUUGGGAGAAGAGAGAUCGGAGAUCUCUCUUUGUAUGUGGGUGUUUGGGAGAAGAGAAAUCGGAGAAGGGAGAAGAGAGAUCGGAGAAUGGAGAAGAGAGAUCGAGAGAUCUCUGUGUGCGUGUGUGUGUUUGGGAGAAGAGAGAUCGGAGAUCUCUGUGUGUAUGUGUGUGUUGGAUCGGAUGUAACCUGUGGAGCUCUCUGUGUGAGUGUGUGUGUGGGAGAAGAGAAGGGAGAAGAGAGAUCGAGAAGGAUCGAGAGAGAGAGAGACUGAGGUCGUGUAUGCGUGCGUGCGUUGUGUGUGUGCGUGUGGGUUCCUCCUGUCAGGAGGAUACAACUCACUCAAUAUUCCCGACAAGUUUUACAAUUAUUUGGACAAUUUCAUGCAGCUUUUACAAUUAUAAUUUGUAUUCUUUUCAGACCAUGGAUGGUGGUCAUUUGUGUGUGUGUGUGUGUGGGUUCCUCCUGUCAGGAGGAUACAACUCACUCAAUAUUCCCGACAAGUUUUACAAUUAUUUGGACAAUUUCAUGCAGCUUUUACAAUUAUAAUUUGUAUUCUUUUCAAACCAUGGACGGUGGUUUCAUUCAAAACCGUGUGCCGAUAUUGUUUUAAAAGGUGGAGUAUCAGAGCUAUUGUGAUAUUCUUUCAAAGUUGUCAUUGUGAAAAAAUUUCAAGAGGUGGAGUAUCAGAGGAGCCUUUUCGAUUAUUUUAUUUCCCUUACCCCUUUCAAAGUCAUUCCAGAUCCAGAGCUUAAACACAAAGGGUUCCAUAUUUAAAGUAAGUUUACAAACUUAUAUUUAUAUUCUUAUAAUUUAUACAACAACAAAAAAAUUUGUGUGAACUCGUAUGUUAAUUUUUUAAGUAAUUAAUACUUGCAUGUUAGUUUUUGUAAGUAAUUAAGUAAUGUUAACAAUUGCAUGUUAAUUUUUUUAAGUAAUUAAGUAAUGUUAAUACUUGCAUGUUAGUUUUUGUAAGUAAUUAAGUAAUGUUAACAAUUACAUGUUAAUUUUUUUAAGUAAUUAAGUAAUGUUAAUACUUGCAUGUUAGUUUUUGUAAGUAAUUAAGUAAUGUUAACAAUUACAUGUUAAUUUUUUUAAGUAAUUAAUACUUGCAUGUUAGUUUUUGUUAGUAAUUAAGUAAUGUUAACAAUAACAUGUUAAUUUUUUUUAAGUAAUUAAUACUUGCAUGUUAGUUUUUGUUAGUUUUUGUUAGUAAUUAAGUAAUGUUAACAAUAACAUGUUAAUUUUUUUUAAGUAAUUAAUACUUGCAUGUUAGUUUUUGUAAGUAAUUAAGUAAUGUUAAUACUUGCAUGUUAGUUUUUGUAAGUAAUUAAGUAAUGUUAACAAUUGCAUGUUAAUUUUUUUAAGUAAUUAAGCAAUGUUAAUACUUGCAUGUUAGUUUUUGUAAGUAAUUAAGUAAUGUUAGCAAUUACAUGUUAAUUUUUUUUAAGUAAUUAAUACUUGCAUGUUAGUUUUUGUAAGUAAUUAAGUAAUGUUAACAAUUACAUGUUAAUGUUUUUUAAGUAAUUAAUACUUGCAUGUUAGUUUUUGUAAGUAAUUAAGUAAUGUUAACAAUUACAUGUUAAUUUUUUUUAAGUAAUUAAUACUUGCGUAUAAUUAUUCCCUAGGAUAAUUUUAAUAUGUUUAAUGUUAUUUAUUAUUUUAUUUCCCUUACCAUUUUCAAAGCCAUUCCAGAUCCAUUCCAAAGCUUGAACACAAAGGGUUCCAUAUUUAAGGUAAGUUUACAAACUUAUAUUUAUAUUAUUGUAAUUUAUACAACAACAAAUAAAUUUGUGUGGACUCGUAUGUUAAUUUUUUUUAAGUAAUUAAUACUUGCAUGUUAAUUUUUGUAAGUAGUUAAGUAAUGUUAACAAUUACAUGUUAAUUUUUGUAAGUAAUUAAGUAAUGUUGUAUAAUUAUUCCCUAGGAUAAUUUUAAUAUGUUUAAUGUUAUUUAAUAUUUUAUUAAUAUUAGGUUUUAUUAUCAAAUAGGAUUAUUAUUCAUUAAUAUUAGGUUUUUUUAUUAUCAAAUUGGAUUAUUAUUCAUUAAAUUAGAUUAUUAUAAAAUUGGAUUAUUAUUCAUUAAAUUGGAUUAUUCAUUAAAUUGGCUUAUUAUCAAAUUGGACUAUUCAUUAAAGCCCACUCAAUGUAGUCUCCAAACUUGAGUUUGUUGAACUUAGACCUUAGGCCCAAAUCUCAAACAUAACCACACCUGGGUUGGGUUGGGUUGAACCAAAAGGUCCAAAACUUAGGCAAAAAAAAAAAAAAAAAAAAACGGAUGGGUAUUCUCAAAUAUCUUCCAAAAUUGUCUCACUUGGUGUUUGGCUUUUUAUUCAUUAAUAUUAGGUUUUUUUUAUUAUCAAAUUGGAUUAUUCAUUAAAUUGGAUUAUUAUUAAAGUGGAUUAUUAUUAAAUUGGAUUAUUAUCAAAAAGGAAUAUUAUUCAUCACUAUGUUUUAUAUUAGGAUUAUUUUCAUGAAACAUAAUUAUCAUCAUUUAUAGUAGGAUUAUUUAUAUUAGGAUUAUUAUCAAAAAGGAAUAUUAUUCAUCAUUUAUAUUAGGAUUAUUUUUUUAUCAAAUUGGAUUAUUAUUCAUUAAUAUUAGGUUUUAUUAUUCCAUAUUAUUUUUUUAAUUACGUAAAUUUUUACAAUCAUUUUCUUUACUUCAUAUUUAAUUAUUCUGUACAAUAACUUUAUUAUUUAGGUUCUCUUAAAUAACUUUAUUAUUUAAUUCUUUUGUCUAAUUUUCAUGAAAAAUAAAUGUAGGUACAUUUAAGAUGUCUAAUGGAGCUACUAAACGUGAUCCAGCUUGGGAACAUGGAGACCCAAUAGACGGAAACAAACAUGGCACAAUUUGCAAAUAUUGUGGUCGGGUAAUGAAGAGUGGUGGAGUGACACGACUUAAGUACCAUCUUAGUGGAUUAGAUCCAGCAAAAAAUGUCCAACGAUGCGAUAAUGUCCCCCCAGAAGUGAAGGCAUUCAUUAGCACAUUAUUAAAAAAUAAAAAACAGCAGAAGGAAAAGAUAACACAAGGAAUGGAAAAUAUUCGAGCUGGGCUACGAGGAGAAGUCAUUGGCCAAGCGGUUGACAGUGAUGAUGAUGACGAUGAGGACGAAUGUGAUGAUGACAUGGGACCUGAAGAACGACGCAGUUUGAAACAAGCAUUACGUGCCUCCAAACAGUCAGCAUGGGAAAAGAGAACACCUUCAUAAAAUUCCUAAUAGGGGGACAAGGUUCCGGGACAAGUGGUGGUGCACAAAUGAGACGGGGAGGCAGUCUUAGAGAAUCACAACCAACACCACCAAUAGCCCCAAGUUUAUAUAAGUCAUCCAACGCACGUCAAAAGAGUGUUUGGAGUUAUUUCAAGGGAGGUAAUGUGAAGGAGGGAAUGGGGCGUCUAAUUAGCAAGUUCUUUAUCUAUGAAAAUGUCCCUGCUGCGAAGGCAUCAUCACAUCAUUUCAAAAAUAUGGUAGUGGGAUGUCAACAGGCCGGUGUUGGAGUACAACCUCCCACUCCCUAUGAGAUAAGAAACAAAUAUUUGGAUAUGGAGUAUAAAGACAUUGGCGAGUAUGUUAACAAGUUGAGGUCAAAGUGGGAAACUAAUGGUUGCACAAUCAUGUGUGACGGAUGGACCGGCCUGACCAGAUUGUCCAUCAUCAACUUCAUGGUAUACUCCAAGGGAAAGACAAUUUUUUUAAAGUCUGUUGAUGCUUCAGACCAUAUAAAGAAUUACAAGUAUAUUUACAAAUUAUUGAGGGAUGUAAUCAUGGAGGUGGGAGAGCAUAAUGUUGUCCAAGUCGUGACCGACAACGGUUCUGCAUUUGUCAAAGCUGGAAAAAAGUUAAUGAAGCAUCAUAAUGUGUUUUGGACAUCAUGUGCAGCACAUUGUAUUGAUCUCAUGUUUGAGGCAAUGGGGAAGAGAGAGAAUGUUGCUACUGUGGUCAAAAGAGCUAGAACGAUCACAAAUUAUAUUUACAAUCACGGUUGGUUGUUGGCAAAGAUGCGUGACUUUUGCAAAGGAGAAAUUAUUCGUCCAGCUACCACUCGAUUCGCCACCAACUAUAUUGCAUUAGACAGCCUACUCAAGAAGAAAGCAGGGUUGAAGCAACUAUUCACUAGUGACGAUUGGGCCAACCACAAUUUGAGCCGCUCAAAUACAGGUCGUAUGGUGGAAAGUAUAGUGCUUGAUCAUGCUUUUUGGACUCAAACAGAACAUGUGUGUCAACUGUUUGAACCUCUUUACAAAGUUUUACGGAUCGUUGACACAGAAGUGUAUCCUACUAUGGGGGCAGUAUAUGAGUUAAUGCGUGUAGUGAAGGAUGAAUUGGAAAGAAAACAUGGUGCAAGGUGGGUCAUUAAGAUAAUUGAAGACCGAUGGUAUAAAACACUAUACCACGAUUUGCAUGCAGCAGGUAUAAAUUAUGUCAUAAUUUGCAAUUCAUUUCUUUAGUUGCAUAAGUAUUAUUUCUCUUAUUAGAGUAUGUGUUUUCUUUGAACAGCAUAUUAUUUUGAAUCCCCGAUACCAAUACAGACCCGGUGUUGGAGAUGAUGGUAACCUUAUACGUGCUGUACAUAAUGUAUACUCUAAAUUAGACCCUGCAUCACCAGCAGUUGGCCAAUUUGGAAAUGAGGUACACAAUUACUUAAAUUAUAAUAAUUACUUUGUUGGAUUAAACUAACACAAUUUAUUGUAUUCAGCUAACAUGGUUUAAAGAUGCAAGAAGAACAUUUGGAGAACCAACAUCAGUUGCUGCUCGAACAAAUAUGUCUCCUAGUGAGUAUAAACAUAUUUCACUAUAAGUUUAUAAUAGAAUUUGUUGGAGUUAUUAGGCUUAUCAACAUUAUUUUUUCAUUGUAGCUGAAUGGUGGAUCAUGUAUGGGACCGAUGCACCAACUGUGAGAAAGUUAGCAAUAAAAGUAUUAUCACAAACAGCUUCCUCAUCUGCUUGUGAAAGAAAUUGGAGCACAUUUGCACUCAUACACACAAAGCAAAGAAAUAAGUUGGCUCAUAGUAGCUUGGAAAAAUUAGUUUAUUGCUACUACAACAUGAAGCUUCAAAUUCGAGAUAAGGAAGCAGAAAUCGAUCAUGUCGACCGUGGUGACCCACUAGAUGUGUUUGAUAUUGUUGGUGAAGAUGAUGAUACGGAGGGUAACCAACUUUUUCAAUGGAUUAGACCUCUUCAUUUAGAUGAUGAUGAAGGCAACCCAGCUUCCAGAGUUGCUGAAGAAGCACGUAAUGAAGGGAUAAAUGUAGAAAGAGUAUUAGAGGAGGAGGUGGGAUCUAGCAGCUCUGACUCUUUCGAAGAACUUUUGCAGCCAAGACCAAGAAACACUGGAAUUCCACAUUCUUCCAAUCCUACACAACCACAACAUCGUGCUGAUACUAAUGAUAGCUCUAGUACAAGAUCAGGAGACUCACCUACCACCGGAGGUGGGAAUGAUGAAGGACAUAGUGGAGCUGGAGGUAGUGGAGCUGAAGGUAGUGGUGGUGGAUAUGGAAACUAUUAUGGACCACCACCUCCCAGAUAUAUGAGCCCCUUCACUAGUAAGGCAAACUUCACGCAUGCAACACAGGAUGAUGACCAUGGCAGUAGGCGGGCAGGACCAGGAAUUGGUGCCAUAGGGAAGGACUAUACUCGCAGAGAAAGAGGCAAGGGGAUUUUGUCAAGUCAAGAAGAUGACUCGUUAUCUAGAACUUCAGACUCUGUUGGAUUGGGAAGUAGUAACUAUGGUUAUACUCAUAACCAACCAUUUCCCUACCCUUCAUAUCCCAUUUCUGUUGGGAUGGAAUCGAGCGACUCAUGGAAACAAUCCCAGCCUCAAUCUUCAAAUGAUUUUUCUUAUGGACAACCUCAACCAAUCUCGGAUCCAUAUGGGUGGCAUAUUAACAAUUACAUGCAAAACUAUUUUGGGGAUUUAUCAUUUGAUAACUACUCUUCACAAUACACUCAUUCUACACAUAGAGAUGAUGAAGAUAGUGACAAAUUUGAACCUCAUAGGAACUCUAUGUGGUACUAAAGUGUAAAAUAUUGUAAUAAUUCAUUAUAUAUAAAUGAUUAUGGUGUGUUUAGACUUCUUUCAUUAAUUACUACAUAUUUUCUACACUCACAAUGUUUGUCAGCUCGCUAUAUAAUCAACUUGAUAAUGUUAAAUCCAUCAUGCAAUGCAUUUCCUUCCAAUUUUUUGUGAUAAACUAAUAGAUAAUUGACUAAAUAAACAUCCUACAAAGUUUCAAUAAAAAUUUCCAAGUUUUUCUUACAAUUUCCGUGGUUUCCAUGUAAUUUUUAUCGAUAUCGAUAUUUUACCGAUAUUUCCAUCGAUAUUUCCGUGUUUUCGGACUACCGAUAUUUCCGAUAUUACCGAUAUUUUCUUCCUUGACUAUGAUAUAUCUUUGUGUUCUUGUGCGUUUAUGUGAUUUACGGUCGGAUUUAUAUUGAACUAAGAUCGACCGAUUUUGUGCAUCAACAUUUGGCGUUGUGUAUGAGAAUCAAUAUGAAAAGCCAUGUCAGUUUUCUCUCAUUUUUUGACCUCAACACCGUGAAACCCUCACAACCACCACUGUCCACCAGAAAAAACUUACAAACCGAGAACCCAAAACCCCUCUCUCUGGCCAAAUUCUCCAAGAAGCCUAGACACCCCCACAAUGAAACCCUUACAACAUCCACAUCUCACCCGACACCGUAGCCUCAACCACGAGGCAUCCACCCCUAGAACUCUACUUCCCUCUCACGACUGCGAUUUGGGUGAAAUGGGCCGAUCUAUGAAAUCCAUACGAAACCACAGUCAUCGCACUGCCGAAAACCCAGGCAAAACCAAGUCGUCACACCGCCGGAAAUUUCUCUUGCGGCUGCCAUGCGUGAUUGGCAGCUUUCGCUCCGUCUCCUUGCGACACCACCGCUAUCCUGGAAUCGGGGAACUCGGACUGUCAGUUCCCCACUCAACCCAAGUGACGCCAGUUCGGGAAAAUUCGUCGGGGAUCGACAAAGGCACUGCAAACUCGCCGCGGCCACCAGUGGAAAACUAACGAAGAAGAUAAGUCUUCUUCUAAUUCAUUAAUUAGUUUAUUAUUGUUAUUUGUGAUGAAUAUAGUUAAUGAGGAUCCUCUCCGGAGGUUCUUUGUGAGGAUUUUAAGGAUUUUUAAAUUGUGUCUAUUCAUCAUAUAUCAUACGGUCAGAAAUCAUUUUAAAUACUUCUAUUUAAAAUUAAAUAUAAAUAGUAUCUGACAAAAAUUGACCGCACGAUGUAUAAUGAACAAAUACGAUUUGAGAAUCACUAGGAUCUUUCACAAAAAAGAUCUGGAGAGAAUCCUCUUUCAAAUAUAGUCUUAUUCUAAUUGCAUAAUCAAUUGCCUUUUACCAUUAUAUGAUUAUUUAAUAAUUUUAUCACAUGAUUAUACUACAACAGGUGACAUAUUUUGACCAAACUACUUAUUUUUAUUAUUUGAAUGUUAGGGCACGGUGGGCACGGUGGGCACGGUACACAAUACAAAGUUCUGAUACAAAGCACAAAGUUAUGUGUGUAUAUAUAUGUAUAUAAAAGCAAAGAUGUCCGCGCUUUGUUGCGGGUUUUGAAAUCAUACCCACAAUUUAACACACCCAUCUCCAAAUAAUCUAGAAACCGAUCAAAGCAUUUGAAUCCAAAUGGUAGAAAUAAUUCUUCACUUUGCAUGUAUGUUCUAUUGAAUUUACAUUAAGAGAUUAUGUACAACUAAAAUGACAGCAUUCUAGGUACAAAUCACAGAGUAAAUAAAUUGUUCCCAUAAUCAAUUUGCACCUGAUUAUACUAACUUUAUAUUAACAACCUAUGUACAAUAAAAAUGAUACACAUGCUUUACCUCUCAGGACUUAAUUUCUUACUUUACUGUUCUUAUGGCUCAUCACAUUCUUCUUGUCCUGCAUUCGGAAACACUUUGAAACUUCCUUUUAAAACUGUAAAGACACAAAUUUAAUCAAUUAAAUACAAAUAUAUUGAAACGCCGAGAAGUAGAAACAAUAUUGAGACAUAAAGAGUUCAUGGAAAGAUCAAACAGUGAACAAAUCAUGAUUUUUUAUUUAUUUAGAAAACAUACUAACAAAUAACUAAAUGAGUACCGACUAAUGCCCUUAAACCAUUGUUGUAGAAAUAAAGACAAAUACUUUAGAAUAAAGUUGAGAUAAUUAUGUAAUGAAAUAACUGAUUGAUUUGGAAGCCAUUAAAUCCAAAAUCUAGCCUCUUCUUCAACACCAUAUCUCAAGCAUACAUGGCAAUUUACAAUCAUCAAACACAGAAAAGAUAAAUCCCAUAUACAAACCCACACUAAAGGGUGCUUAAUUUGUCCGAGAGGUAUACAAUUCUAAGUAUUGGGUUUACUUCAUAUUGUGUGAAAUCCUAUUUAGAGAAUGUGGAUAAUUGUUGGUCUAAUCAUUAAUAACAACCUCCAUGCGAUGUGCAAAACACUUUAAACGUUAUCGACAUAGAGUUGAUUAGCAAUUACACAGUGGGUGGACAGUCCUUGGUUUAACUACAUACUUGGAGACGCUUACCUUACAACAACAACAACAACAAAGCCUUUUCCCACUAAGUGGGGUCGGCUAUAUGAAUCCUAGAACGCCAUUGCGCUCGGUUUUGUGUCAUGUCCUCCGUUAGAUCCAAGUACUCUAAGUCUUUUCUUAGGGUCUCUUCCAAAGUUUUCCUAGGUCUUCCUCUAUCCCUUCGGCCCUGAACCUCUGUCCCGUGGUCACAUCUUCGAACCGGAGCGUCAGUAGGCCUUCUUUGCACAUGUCCAAACCACCGUAACCGAUUUUCUCUCAGUUUUCCUUUAAUUUCGGCUACUCUUACUUUACCUCGGAUAUCCUCAUUCCUAAUCUUAUCCUUUCUCGUGUGCCCACACAUCCAACGAAGCAUCCUCAUCUCCACUACACCUACGUGUUGAUGCUUCACCGCCCAACAUUCUAUGCCAUACAACAUUGCCGGCCUUAUUGCCGUCCUAUAAAAUUUUCCCUUGAGCUUCAAUGGCCUACGACGGUCACACAACACGCCGGAUGCACUCUUCCACUUCAUCCAUCCAGCUUGUAUUCUAUGGGUGAGAUCACCAUCAAAUUCUCCGUUCUUUUCCAAGAUAGAUCCUAGGUAGCGAAAACAGUCGCUCUUUGGUAUUUCCUGAUCUCCGAUCCUCACCCCUAACUCAUUUUGGCCUCUGUUUGCACUGAACUUGCACUCCAUAUAUUCAGUCUUUGAUCGACUUAGGCAAAGACCUUUAGAUUCCAACACUUCUCUCCAAAGGUUAAGCUUCGCGUUUACCCCUUCCUGCGUUUCAUCUAUCAACACUAUAUCGUUUGCGAAAAGCAUACACCAAAGAAUAUCAUCUUAAAUAUUAAGUUUGUGAUCUUCGCUAGAUUGCUCCGGUCAUUAGUGUGGAUAAGUAUGUUAAUGGAUAGAGACAGGAAGCAAACACAAGAUGUACGUGGUUCACCCAGAUUGGCUACGUCCACGGAGUAAAGGAGUUCUCAUUAAUUGUGAAGGGUUUACACAGUAUAUAGGUUCAAGCUCUCCUUUAGUGAGUACAAGUAAAUGAUUUAGUACAAAUGACAUUAGGAAAUAUUGUGGAAGAAUUAUCUCGUAAUCACGAAACUUUUAAGUACCGAAGUGUGGUAUCGUUUUCACUUGCCUUAUCUGUCUCAUAGGUAGAUGUGGCAUCUUCUUUGGAAGUACUCUUUCUCCCUCCAGGGGUGGUAUCUUUAACUGGUGGAGAUGCACAAGGUAAUAUAUCAAUUUCACUUGACGCUUACUUGUAGUUUCAGGCUUGGUCAAGCGCGAUACAAACCAUGUAGUAGGAGUCCCCCAAGUCGCAGAGCUAGGGGAUCUGCUGAAAGAGGUGACAGACAAGGUAAGCAAUCAGAGCUCCAAGCAAUCAGUCCCAGAUCAUAAGUUUGAUUUCGAGUUCCGGCUGAUUGUUAUCCUUCUCCUUAUCUUGUAGGUAGCAUGAAGGAUAAAGAGAAGAAAAUGAGAAAAUGUGAUAUGAGAUACUUUUGCUUUUGAAGAAGUAACUUUCCACAGGCUUAUUCUUGAACUGGGCUGGAGGGUUUUCUUGUUUCCGCCAGAGUAUAAGGCCGACUGAAGAAUUUGAGGGUCAAAACAAGUCCAUCAAAUCUAGAGUACGUUCGACCCUGCUGAUAUGGGAUACUUUUGUUGUUGACAAAGUAGUGGAUGUAUCGGCACGUGUUAUGUUGCGCUUGUCUCCACAUGCUUCCUUGUAUCCUUCUCACUUGCCCUAUUUGUUCCUCAGGCAGAUGUGGUAUCUUCUCGGGAAGCAUAAAAUGUUGAAGAUGAGUACUCGAGAGCAAUGGGGUUCCAGGCAGUCAGUUCCGGACUGGAAGCUUGAUUCCAAGUGCUGACUGAUUGCUCUCUUCCUUGUCUUGCAGGUAAGAACAAGGCUAUAGGAAAAGACAGGGAAAAAGCAUGAUAUGGGAUACUCUUGCUUUUAACCCUGAUGAUAUGAGAUAUUCUUGCUUUGGUGUAGCUUGUUUGCAGAGGUAUUCUCGGGGGGAAAGAAAGUUGAGUAUUUCGAGAUGCUUCGUUGGGAGUGCCCUCUCAGAUAUGAGGAAGGGUUGAGCAUUUUUGCAGGUCUGCCUCUCCGUUGAGGAUGGAGGUCGACAUAUAUAGGAGUUUCCCUAACAAGAAGGAGUAAUACUAUUCUUUUACCCUGCUUGGUCAUAGCACGGUAGUGGGAGCUGCCAGCUUCACGUGUUUUAACUCUGUCAGAGCACUUUGAAAAAGUGGUCUGUGGUAUCUGGAAAGCUGAUGUUACGUGUGAAGAUUACAGACAAGCUUUAUCCAAGGAGAUCUGGCUCUCGAAGUUAAGAAAGCGGUGUGAGGAUUACAGACAAGCUUUAUCUAAGGGCUCUCGAAGUUGAGAAAGCGGUGCCUCUACGGUUUUCGAACAAGCAAUCCUGUCGGGGAUCUGUCUCUCGAGAUUCGGAGAACGGUGCCUCUUCGAUUUUUGAGAAAGAAAUCCUGCUAGGAGUCUGGCUCUCGAUAUUCGGAGAGCGGUGUCUCGUCGCUUUUUGAGAAAGUAAUCAUGUUGGGAGUCUGGCUCUCGAGAUUCGGAGGACGGUGCCUCUUCGAUCUUGAAGCAAUCAAUCUUGUUGGGAGUGUUUUCUCGAAUGUGAGUAAAGGUUAGGCCUGUUUGCUAGUCUACCUUGCCACGGAGCACAGAGGUUGACACACAGGGACUUUCCAAUUAUCCAGCAGUGGUCCUGUUCCUUUGCCCUUGUGGGUAAUAAUAUGGUAGCUAGACCUUCAAAAUUUAUGUGUCUAAACUUUGUUAGUGUUGUUUCUUUGCUAUUCUUUUACCCUUCUUGGUCAUAGCGAUGUAAUGGGAGCUGCAAGCUUCACGUGUCUAAACUUUGUCAGAGAUUUUUGGCAAAGUUAUCUGUGGUACCCGUGAGCUGAUGUUGUGUGUGGAAAGUGGAUGAUUGAACAGUAACAUUCACGUGCUUUCUACUUCACCAGAAAUCUUCGACAGAAUGCCCGUAAUUUCCGCAAAGUUGAGUGUGCAUGUGACAGGUGCUAACAAGGCUAAAAAAGCAGGUGCCUCUUCGAUUUCUGAGAUCGGCCCUCGUGGUCUCUGAGCAGCCCAGCUUUUGAGAAAGCAAGCGCCUCUUCGAUUUCUGCGAUUGACCUUCGUGGUCUUUGAGCAGCCCAGCUUUUGAGAAAACAAACGCCUAUUCGAUUCCUGAGAUCGGCCCUCGUGGUCUCUGAGCAGCCUAACUUUUGAGAAAGCAAACGCCUUUUCGAUUUCUGAGCAGGCGCCUCUUCGAAAUCUGAAGCUUCAUCGAGUGCAGAUUUUUAUAGAGGCUGGUAUUAAGUUCCAAAGCACACUUGAAUCUCCACCAGUAGAAGCUCCCUUCUUGCAUUUCUAAGAUCUUGAUUUGUCCGACCUCUUUUCUCUUCAACACCUUUGAAAAUGUCUGGCCCCUCCGACCGUCGUUUUGACUUGAACCUUAUUGAAGAGGCAGCCACGCCUUCUCCAGACAACAUAGGCGCCCAUCCUUCAUAUCCCCUACUGGUCCUCUUACCAUUGGGGAUUCCGUGAGGAAGAAUGAUAUGACCGCUGCGGUGGUGGCCAGGAACCUUCUCACUCCCAAAGAUAACAGACUACUUUCCAAACGGUCUGAUGAGUUGGCUGUUAAGGAUUCUCUGGCUCUCAGUGUUCAGUGUGCAGGUUCUGUGUCUAAUAUGGCCCAACGCCUAUUUGCUCGAACCCGCCAAGUUGAAUCAUUGGCGGCUGAAGUGAUGAGUCUCAAACAGGAGAUUAGAGGGCUCAAGCAUGAGAAUAAACAGUUGCACCGGCUCGCACAUGACUAUGCUACAAACAUGAAGAGGAAGCUUGACCAGAUGAAGGAAUCUGAUGGUCAGGUUUUACUUGAUCAUCAGAGGUUUGUGGGUUUGUUCCAAAGGCAUUUAUUGCCUUCGUCUUCUGGGGCUGUACCGCGUAAUGAAGCUCCAAAUGAUCAACCUCGAUGCCUCCUCCUUCUAGGGUUCUGUCCAGUACUGAGGCUCCGAAUGAUCCCCCUCCGGUGCCUUCUCUUUCUGGGGCUCUACCGACUGCUGAGACUUCUCCUAAGCAACCUUUGUGAAGGCUCCCUCUUGUUUGUUUAUUUUGACUCAUGUAUAUGUACAUAUUUGUAACUUAUUAGAGAUAUCAAUAAAUAAGCUUUCCUUCAUUUCAACGUAUUGUGUUAAAUACACCAAAGCCUUCUUCGCUAAGUUCUUUGAAUUUUUCUUUUGUUGAAGCUUGUAUGUUGAAGCUUUGUGAGUGGAGCAUGUAGGUUGAGGUAGUGUUCCCUUAAUUUCCCGAGUGAGGAAAACUUCUCGGUUGGAGACUUGGAAAAAUCCAAGUCACUGAGUGGGAUCGGCUAUAUGAAUCUUAGAACGCCAUUGUGCUCGUCCUGUGUCAUGUCCUCCGUUAGAUCCAAGUACUCUAAGUCUUUUCUUAGAGUCUCUUCCAAAGUUUUCCUAGGUCUUCCUCUACCCCUUCGGCCCUGAACCUCUGUCCAUAGUCGCAUCUUCUAAUCGGAGCGUCAGUAGGCCUUCUUUGCACAUGUCCAAACCACCGUAACCGAUUUUCUCUCAUCUUUCCUUCAAUUUCGGCUACUCCUACUUUACCUCGGAUAUCCUCAUUCCUAAUCUUAUCCUUUCUCGUGUGCCCACACAUCCAACGAAGCAUCCUCAUCUCCGCUACACCCAUUUUGUGUACGUGUUGAUGCUUCACCGCCCAACAUUCUGUGCCAUACAGCAUCGCCGGCCUUAUUGCCGUCCUAUAAAAUUUUCCCUUGAGCUUCAGUGGCAUACGGCGGAUCACACAACACGCCGGAUGCACUCUUCCACUUCAUCCAUCCAGCUUGUAUUCUAUGGUUGAGAUCUCCAUCUAAUUCUCCGUUCUUUUGCAAGAUAGAUCCUAGUAAGCGAAAACGGUCGCUCUUUGGUAUUUCUUGAUCUCCGAUCCUCACCCCUAACUCGUUUUGGCCUCCAUUUGCACUGAACUUGCACUCCAUAUAUUCUGUCUUUGAUCGGCUUAGGCGAAGACCUUUAGAUUCCAACACUUCUCUCCAAAGGUUAAGCUUUGCAUUUACCCCUUCCUGAGUUUCAUCUAUCAACACUAUAUCGUCUGCGAAAAGCAUACACCAAGGAAUAUCAUCUUGAAUAUGUCCUGUUAACUCAUCCAUUACCAACGCAAAAAGGUAAGGACUUAAGGAUGAGCCUUGAUGUAAUCCUACAGUUAUGGGGAAGCUUUCGGUUUGUCCUUCAUGAGUUCUUACGGCAGUCUUUGCUCCUUCAUACAUAUCCUUUAUAGCUUGGAUAUAUGCUACUCGUACUCCUUUCUUCUCUAAAAUCCUCCAAAGAAUGUCUCUUGGGACCCUAUCAUACGCUUUUUCCAAAUCUAUAAAGACCAUGUGUAAAUCCUUUUUCCCAUCUCUAUAUCUUUCCAUCAAUCUUCGUAAGAGAUAGAUUGCCUCCAUGGUUGAGCGCCCUGGCAUGAACCCGAAUUGGUUGUCCGAAACCCGUGUCUCUUGCCUCAAUCUAUGCUCAAUGACUCUCUCCCAGAGCUUCAUUGUAUGACUCAUUAGCUUAAUACCCCUAUAGUUCAUGCAAUUUUGUACGUCGCCCUUAUUCUUGUAGAUAGGCACCAAAGUGCUCUUUCGCCACUCAUUUGGCAUCUUCUUCUUCGUUUUCAAAAUCCUAUUGAAAAGGUCAGUGAGCCAUGUUAUACCUGUCUCUCUCCCAAAGGCUUUCCACACUUCGAUUGGUAUAUCGUCUGGGCCUACUGCUUUUUCUAUGCUUCAUCUUCUUCAAAGCUACAACCACUUCUUCCUUCCGGAUUCGACGAUAAAAAGAGUAGUUUCUACACUCUUCUGAGUUACUCAACUCCCCUAAAGAAGCACUCCAUUUCAUGUCCUUCAUUGAAAAGAUUAUGAAAAUAACCUCUCCAUCUGUCUUUUAACCGCGUUCUCUGUAGCAAGAACCUUUCCAUCCUCAUCCUUGAUGCACCUCACUUGGUUUAGGUCCCUUGUCUUCUUUUCCCUUGCUCUAGCUAGUUUAUAGAUAUCCAACUCUCCUUCUUUGGUAUCUAGUCGCUUAUACAUAUCGUCAUAAGCCGCUAACUUAGCUUCUCUCACAGCUUUCUUCGCCUCUUGCUUCGCUUUUCUAUACCUUUCACCAUUUUCAUCGGUCCUAUCCUUGUAUAAGGCUUUACAACAUUCCUUCUUAGCCUUCACCUUUGUUUGUACCUCCUCAUUCCACCACCAAGAUUCCUUUUGGUGUGGGGCAAAGCCCUUGGACUCUCCUAAUACCUCUUUUGCUACUUUUCGGAUACAACUAGCCAUGGAAUCCCACAUUUGGCUAGCUUCCCCCUCUCUAUCCCACACACACUGGGUGAUUACUUUCUCUUUGAAAAUGGACUUGUUUUUCUUCCUUUUAGAUUCCACCAUCUAGUCCUUGGGCACUUCCAAGUCUUGUUCUUUUUUCUCACUCUUUUGAUAUGUACAUCCAUCACCAACAAGCGAUGUUGAUUAGCCAACGCUCUCCCCUGGUAUAACUUUGCAAUCCUUACAAGUUAUACGAUCCCCUUUCCUCAUUAGAAGAAAAUCUAUUUGUGUUUUUUGACGACCCACUCUUGUAGGUGAUCACAUGUUCUUCUCUCUUCUUAAAGAAGGUGUUGGCUAAGAAGAGAUCAUAUGCCAUUGCAAAAUCCAAGAUAGCUUCCCCAUCCUCGUUUCUCUCCCCAAAACCAUGGCCACCAUGAAAACCUCCAUAGUUGCCUGUCUCCCUGCCCACGUGUCCAUUUAAAUCUCCUCCUAUAAAUAACUUCUCCGUCUGAGCAAUUCCUUGCACCAAGUCUCCAAGGUCUUCCCAAAAUUUCUCCUUCGAACUCGUAUCCAACCCUACUUGAGGUGCGUACGCACUAAUCACAUUGAUAAGUUCUUGUCCUAUUACAAUCUUGAUUGCCAUGAUUCUAUCUCCUACCCUCUUGACAUCUACAACAUCUUGUGUCAAGGUCUUGUCCACGAUGAUGCCAACACCGUUUCUCGUUCUAUUUGUGCCCGAAUACCAAAGUUUAAACCCUGAGUUUUCUAGAUCCUUUGCCUUAACGACCAACCCACUUAGUUUCUUGUAGGCACAUAAUAUUUAUCCUUCUCCUCACCAUAACUUCCACUACUUCCAUAGAUUUUCCCGUUAAGGUUCCUAUAUUCCACGUUCCUAAACGCAUUUUGCUCUCUUGAACUCUACCCUUCUGUCCUAGCUUCUUCACCCUUCCCCCGUCUAAUAGGAUCAAAGUACUUCUUUUGUGUGUCCUGUGUAAAGUUGAUAGGAGCAUAUGCUCCCAAACAACUUUGAGUGGAGUCGUUCGAAAAGAAGUUUCUAUGGCCCCCUUGCUCAUUUAACACUGCAUCCGGGUGCCGAUGGAGAUACAGCGACCCUUGCUCACUUAUCACUGUGCUCGGGCCACACAGCGCGCCACUUACGGGUGACGCCCUAGCUUUAGCGCGAUUUCGUUCUGGAUUCAUUUUCAUAAGGAUUCGACGUAACUGUGGAGUGCCGGUUGUCGACUACCUGACGCCCUCCCCCUCCUCCUUUAUCCGGGCUUGGGACCGGCAGUGUAAGAUAAACUUACACAGGCGGAGUUACUUGGAGACGCUUACCUUGAUUGAAAUAUUUUCCUUGCGCUUUUUUAAGAUGUCUAGAAACACUUGGGUUUAAAGUCUCCACACUCAAACACCAUAAAACAUAAUUGAAAAAAUCACAAUUUAAAAAUGGUUGAAAAAAUUAAAACUUGGUAAGCAAAAUCUAAGAGGGCUAACAAAUUACCUGCACUUGGAACAGAGACUGGCAAAUUUGCCGAUCCACAAUGAUCAGCCUUUCUUUCAUUCGUGUGUAUUGGCUGUUCUGCACGAAUGAUUCAUGCAAACCUUGAACCUCAUUGCCCAAAUUCAAACUCUCUAAAACCCUAAAAGCAAAUAAAACAUAGCAAUCAAACCUAAAUAUCUAAACCCCUUUUGACCAAAACCCAUAAAUUAGAACAUAAAACCCAGCAUUAACCUGGUAAUUUUUUAUUAUUUUUCUUCUCAUUACUCAUUUACAAAAUAUAUUAAAAUUCAUAUAAACUAAUAAAACCCAAAAAAAAAAAGGAAAACAGAGUUUGAUCGAAUACACCAUGCAUAUUUCCCACCACCAAUCAACCAUAACUGAUUUCAAUACCCUUAGCUGCUCUAGUAGACCAUCUAGUGACACCUAACUGCCACCAAAAUAAAAGACAUGAUCAAGACCAUACAUAUUACAGACUAAGCUUAAAAACAACUGUUACCUAUUAAGCAAAACUUGAACUCCUUGAUAUGGCAACCUCUCAAUCCAUUAUGUAGAGUAUAAAAGCAAAAUUAUUGACAAACCAAAAAAUAACAAUUUAACUUGCACAGUAAAUGAAUAUUAAUAAAGUUACAGAACUCAAUGGAUUACAUAUACUAGUAAAAAAGGAAAACAUCAAUGUUUGGGAAGUUACUUUGUUUGAAAUGUCAGGAGCAUCUGGUGUACAUACCAGGUAAACAGUCCUUGCAAAAUUCAAGGCUUCAAAAUAAAAUAAAAAAUAAGUUCAAAAGAAAUCAAAACUAUUAAUCCUAACAACUGUUUAGUAAACAAUCUUUCCAUAAAACAAAUUUGAGAAACAAAAAAGGGGAACUAAAUUUAAGUUGAAUAGAGUUGACAAUUGCUUACCUAGAAAUCCAAGCGAAAUCCCCAAAAAUUCACUCCCCCAAAACCCUACAAAUCACCAGAGUCGAAAACCAACGCUACACCAGGAUCAUCCACACAACGACAAACUCCGAUCAUCAUCACCGAUCUCCAUCUCCUUACAAAGUCAAAACCCUUUUUAAGAACGAAAACAAAAGGUUCUAAAUUUACUCAAACCCAACAAUAACAGACGAAAUUAAAAUUAAUUAGAGCAAAGUUAGGGUACAAAUUUGAAAUUCCAAAAACCCAAAUUAAACGCAAAAUAUCAGAAUUCAUAACACAAAGACUCAAAUUAACACAAAAUCAAUGUGCUUUCAAAAGAACGUGAAAAACUGUAACUUAUCGAAAGUGCAGAAAGAUUGAGAUCGAAAAUACAAUCGGGGUUAAGUUCGUGAGAUGAAUGGGAGACGACUGGUGGUAACGAUGAGGUCCGAGGCAUGAAACAGCUGUUUCUUAUUCCUGAGAUGAAGGGGAGACGACUGGUGGUAACGAUGAGGUCUGAUUCGCCGACGUUCAGAUGGCAAUAGCUCUCUGUCCUCGCUAGCUGAGUCACGGAGAGGAGAGCGAGAGGGAAGAGAGAUAACAGAGUAGAAAGAACCAAAAAAAUAUAAAAAAAAAUUCAGUAUAUAUAAUUUAUAAAACAAUGGCAUGCCUGUAAUAACAAAAACUUAACAGGGGCAAAAAAGGAAGCACAUUGUGCUUAUGAACAGUGUUUCGGUUAUAUUUGAGUUGGAUUGUCUGCCGUCCCCAUCCCAUACCCUUCCAUGCCCUCCUAUAUUAUGUGGUCACGGUUAAGCCACGUCAACAUUUUAUAUUGAUUUUUUUUUUAUAAAAAUAAUAAUACAAAAAGUAAUGAGAAUAUAAAAUGUUGACGUAGUUUAACCGUAACCACAUAAAUAGGAAGGCAUGGGAAGGGUAUGAGAUGGGGAGGGCUGACAAUCCAAGUCCUUUUAGUAUAUAUUGAAUUUGCCUGCAUUCAUCAUGUCAAGAUUAAUAUGCUCAGAAUGCUUUCGGUAUGCAUGACUCAUAUUUCACUAAUCUCAGUCGCAUCAUACAUUUUUAAAUAGGCAUUUACUUGUGCAAUCUUAACCCUAAUAUAUUGUGAUUGCCUUUAACGAUGUCAGAUAUGAAACAACUCAUUAACCACACAACUUACAUAGUAUCACAUUAUGCUUUUACCAAACUUUUUUGGUUAAUUUAUUGAGUAUGCGUCCAUGCUUAUACUAUCAUUUAUUGUCAAGACUCUAUUGAUCAACAUUAUUACUGAUUAAAGAAACUUGUCGACCACUACUAAUGAACUUAUAGAUCAAUGAGCCACAUCUUUAUGGUGACAAAGAUUUAGUCCCAACGGUGGUCUCCUGUUUGACCGAACACCUGCUUGCUCGAACACUAGCUCAUUUGGACACCUAAGCGAUCGGACACCUGCGAGCUCAUGCACCAAGUCGUUUGGGCACCUACGAGAUUGGACACCCACAAACUUGGACACCCUUGAGCUCAAAUCUCGACUUACAGACCCAACUCAAAGUCCCCAUGUAUGGCCCCGACUCAAAGACUUGACUUGUGGACCUGAUCCGUGGAUCCAACACAUAGACCCAAUAUACGAACUCGACAAGCGGACCCAAGUCAUGUCGAGAGUUAACUAAUAAUGAGUGCACAUUGACGUCGAGUGUAUACUGUCACACCCCGACCCUGACAUACGUCUAGGAUCGAUGCGCGAGGGUAGACUAUAGGGGAUGCCAAGAAAUACAAACUGAAAUACUGAACUGAAAAUAACAAUAAUCACAACUGUUUAAGGAAAAAUAUAGGGGCAACCUAACACUCCAAGCUCUCUAAACUCUGUCAGCUACCCCAAAGCUCUUCGUAUCUACUAAAACUUGCACAAUUGCCCCUACACCAUGGGAAUGGUGCACCGGGCAAACAAUAACCCAGAUAAACUGCGAAACUCUUGUGAGUGACCAUAAUUCUACGUAUGUGAUACUAUUAAAAACCAAUCAUCGAUUCGGUUUAUAAACGUCAAAUAUAAAAUCAUAAUCAAGUCACUGAAAAUCUCAAAUGAGUCAUCCAGACAUCCAACGGCUCGUUUGAAACAAAUCACAAAAGCUCACAACCAUAAACUCAUACAACACAAUGAAAAGUAGGGUUAGAGUGACACAGUUCGACCGAAGCCUACAUCACUGAAGCUAUCUUAAUCCAAACUCAAUCCGAAGAAUCAACAAAGCAAUUAAUCGGUUCCAGACCUCUCAACGGAACCAUAAUACCAAAUGGAUUCCAGACCACUCAAUGGAAUCCAAACAAGAUAUGAUUCCAGACCACUCAAUGGAAUCGCGGAGUAGAAGGGAUUCCGGACCUCUUAACGAAAUCCGAGUAGAUACGAUUUCGAACCUCUCAACGGAAUCGUGGAGUACAAUGAUAUCAGACCACUCAACAAAAUCCAAGCUGGAUACGAUUCCGGACCACUCAACGGAAUCACGGAACACGAGGGAUUCUGGACCACUCAACGGAAUCUAGACGGAGCAAGGAACUAGACCACUCAAUGAAAACCCAGUUCUGGAUCACUCAACGGAACCAAGCGGAAGGCCAAUAACCGUACUGUACAAUGGCUUAAAGAAACGAGACAAGGCACAAGUUACUCAAUUUACAAAAGCUCAACGAAGUGAAACAAGGCACAAAUACUAAUUUAGAACGAAUCAAUGAAGCGGGAAAUGAAACAAUAUCGAAGCAACAAAUCCCCAUCACAAUAGGUUAACGGUCCACUACUAGCCCUCACAUUUCAUCACAACAUGCCAAUCAUACAAAUCAAACCAUAUUUCAAAUAUACAUGUCAAAUCUCAUUUCAUAAACAUAAAUCGAUGGCUAAGUAUUAAAUAUAACAAUUCAAUAGAAAACGUAUUUAUAAAAGCAAGUCAUAUCCACACAGGAUAACAAUUACAGAAAUAGGGUAAUCACCAAUAUCACAUAUAUUAAAGUCACUCACCUGGAGUUUGCGCUAACGCACCCUAGCACAAGAAUUGAGAUGUCACGCAAUAUCGUCGCCUAAAACAAAGUACAAGUCCACUUUUAGAUUUUCUUCGAUAAUUCACAUACUCAAAAACUCUCAUACAUCCCCCACAACAACAUUUAAUGAAAAUCAAACCGUCGUUCAAAGGUAGGGUCCAUGAUCCUACAUCACUUGCUCUGUAAGAUCCAACCUCUAGAUUUUCGAUUCGUAAAUUCCUCAGGUCCUUAAAUAUUACAUACUAUAAUGUAUCAAAGUUUGGUGAUGAUUCAAUGGUCGGAUCGUUGAUUGCUAUAAUGUUCAAGUGGCGGACCUUAACGAAAUUUCGCCGGAUUCUGCAGAUUUUGCAGAUUUUCUGGGCAUCUUUAGAACUCCAUAUCUCACUCGUUUCUCAACCAAAUCUGACCCAUAAUAUACCAAAACGAAGCUAGAGAAGUGUAGAACAAGAUUAUACCUGCUUGGAUCCAAAAGGUUGCCGGAGGUGGCCGGAAAAUGGCCUGAAAUAUGGCUGUCUGCGGGAAAACUGGUAACUCGCUGGAAUUUCUGGGCAAACUUUAAAUUGUUAUAACUUUCUCAUUUCUUAACCAAAUCACACGAUCCAAACAUGAAAAUUUAUCUACACAUCACUAGGAAUCCAAUUAUGGUGCUUAGAGUUCUUACCUUGGUCAGAAUAUAUGAGAAAUUGACCUGCAAAGUGACGGCUCAAAUGGAGGUUCUUGAUUUGUUUGAUCCCGAGGUAAACUCGAGUAUCCAACACAUGAAACAGGUUCCUGGGAUGAUGGUGAACACAGUGAGGAUGUUUGCAAGGUCCAAUUUUCUGGAAAGGAAAUGGUGGUGGAUGAUGGCGUGUCUCAGUGAAGAAGAGUGAAUGAGAGAGAGAAUAACGGGAGAAAGAAGAAAUGGAAAAGAAGAAUCCAGAAAAAUGGGGACCAAUAUGUGGUCCCACGUGGUAGAUAACAAAUUUCACAUGUGUUCAAUUGUCAAUUUACCAAAAUGCCCUCAACAAGUACUAUCCAAAUAUAUAAAGAUUAAAAAAUACGUAGGGACUGUAGACAUUGAAAUUUCGGUGGCAUAAAUGUUAGCCAUUGCAUUAAGAUCACAUUUGUAAAACAUUAAAAUUUUAGUGUAAUAAAUGUUGACCAUUGUAUUAAAAUUACAACCUUCAUUCACUUCACCUACAACAUACACCCAAGUUUCACCUACAACACCCACCAAAAUUCACCUACAACACCCACCAAAAAUUCACCUACAACACCCACCAAAACAAAUGGAUGGUGGUGAUUCAUUCCCAAGGCCUAUAAAUAGGCUCCUCCAUCAAAGAAUCAAAGGAGGAUUUUUGGCAUACACUUUCUCUACUCCCAAAUUGGAAGAGAAUUCACACCAUACUAAAGCCUUGAAGCCUCGAAACUCUGAAGCUCUCAAGCAAAUCCCGAAGGAUCAAGAAAGCCCUCUUCAUUCUUCGUGAAAUCCUCAUUCAAGAUCAAGCCCUAACGCCCCCCUUGAAGAACUUCCACCAAUUCAAGAUCAAGCCCCGACGGCCCUUGAAGAAGGUGUUCAUCAUUCCUCAACCGUUCGUCCAAGAUCAAGCCUCGACGGCCCUUGGAUCAACAACACUACAUCUACACGUUUCAAAGAUAGAAUCAGAGGAUAAAUUUGUAGAAGAGAUUGUAACCCCUAAAUCAUUAAUACAAAUAUUAUUUUGUACACGUGUUCUUGUCUCUUUCGUUUCAGGAAUUUCCGUGUUCACAAAUUUGGCACGCCCAGUGGGACAGUCUCUACCUCUCAUCUCUAUCUGUGAACCCGCAACAAGCACAAAUGGCGUCAAAAAAGGCCCGAGUUGUUCCCGCUGCCGAUGCAAGAAACAAAAGCGUCAUCACGGCAGGGGGCAUCACUUCAGGCAUCAUAACUCGAAGCAAGGCAAAAGCUCUUUCCGCCGCCUCUUUCGCCCCUUCAUCAACUCCGCCGAAGGCACAAGAGCACCCGAGGUUCGAACCGGUGAUCACCCUGGCCUCGCUCAGGGCGCAAAGAGAGGAAAGCCAGAGGAAGUACUCUGAAUCCUUACUUUUCGAUGCCGACUCGAGCAGCGGCAUAGCUAUGCAAGUCAUGGUUACUGGAACAACUUCAAUUGAGGAGCAGCUGGCUCAGAUGAAUGAAGCAAUCGCAAAGCUCACAAGGACUGUAGAGGAAAAAGACCUGCAAAUCGCAGCACUCGUUAACCAACUAGAUGCAAAGCCCGAUGAAAAAGUCAGGCAAGGGGAUAAUCCAGUAAAGAAGGAAAACGACGGGAUGAGGAACCUCCAUUGGAGAACGUCGAAGAGACGCUGAAGCCAGACCAAGCGGCAACACUCAUGGGGUCCUCUCUAUCCAGCAGCUGCAGGAGAUGAUCGCCAACACCAUCAAGGCGCAGUAUGAAGAAGCUCACAUGAUUCCGUACUAUACUCAAAGCCCUACUCCAAGAAGAUUGACGCUUUGAGAUGCGAGGGGUUAUCAACCACCAAAGUUUAUGCAGUUCGAUGGAAAGGGGAACCCGAAGCAACAUAUCGCCCACUUCAUUGAACCUGCAGCAAUGCUGGAACAGAGGGAGCUACCUCGUCAAGCAGUUCGUGCGCUCGCUGAAAAGCAACGCCUUUGACUGGUACACCCGACCUCGAGCCCGAGUCUAUCAACAGUGGGAUCAGCUAGAAAAGGAAUUCCUCAACCGCUUCUACAGCACCGCCGCACCGUAAGCAUGCUGAGCUGACCAGUACGAAACAGUGGAAGAGGAACCCCGUCGACUACAUCAAUAGAUGGCGUCAUUAAGUCUAGAUUGCAAAGAUCGGCUUUCUGAAACUCGCCAUUGAGAUGUGUGUUCAAGGCAUGCACUGGGGUUACAUUACAUUCUCCAAGGCAUAAAACCAAGAACGUUUGAGGAGCUUGGCAACGCGUUCCCACGACAUGGAGCUGAGUAUCGCCAAUCACGGAAAGAAUGAGCCGAUCACCACUUCAAGAAGGAUAAGGUGUUCGCCCCGAGUGCGGACAAGACUGGAAAAAAGCCUGCCAAGGAAACUUUAACUGUCAACAUUCCCCAUCAAAACCCCAUCCGCCCUAUCAAGACCACCUCUACGCCUAUAAGAUUUCCUCCAAGACCAAGGCAAAGGAGACAAAGAGAGUGAGGCCUCCUCGCACCCAAGACAAGUAUAAAAACACCUUGAGAGAUUGGAGCAAAAGACGUACCCUUUUCCUGACUCAGACGUGGAUGCGAUGUUAGAUGACUUGCUGGAAAAGAAGGUAAUUGAGUUACCAGAGUGCAAAGCGCCCUGAAGAAAUGAAUCGAACGAACGAUCCUAGGUACUGCAAGUACCAUCGUAUCGUAAGCCAUCACGUGGGCAAGUGCUUCGUCCUCAAAGAACUCAUUAUGAAGCUAGCGCAACAAAGGGAGAAUCGAGCUAGACCUUGAGGACACAGCCGCAACACAUACUACUACGGUGGCGUUCGGAUCUUCGAUCCCGUGCCUCUUCUAAACGACACCUAACCAUUCCAUCAAUGUGCAAGCUACACGGCGCCUUCUACACAACCAUCGCUGGGGGCAAACGAACAAGAUGCGUACCGUGAUGAUGAAGGGUGGACAUUGGUGACCUAUAAAAAAACAAGGAAACCAAAACCACAAGCCACGAGACCAAAGGUGGAACAAGUGAGAAAAUACCGUCGCCGCAACAGUAGGAAGCCUAAAAGAAACGUAAAUCAUAAGCCAACGUAUGCUGGGGAACCUAUGGAGCAAGGAACACGCAUUCCUGUCUCCUUGUACGAGUACUUCCCGAAUGGACUUCUUCCAACAGUGCACUAUCGCUGCAUGCCAUAUGGUCGAAGUAGAAAUGGAAGAACCUUCAAAAGGCAAAGAUAUAACCACUGAAGGAGAAAAAACUUUCACGCUCGAAGAAGGUCUGCCAACACACUUUAGCAUUGAGGAAGCGUUACGAUUACCAAAGAAGAUGCGAAUAGCAUUAGCAGCUGUCUUGGAAAGUCCAAUGAACACGAAGGGCAAGAAAGCAAGAACGAAGGCUUGAAGCCUCGGCCACAUGAAUGUGCCACAUGUUGUGCCAUCGAGGACGCAAUCCAUUUCACCGAUGAAGACUUGCUGCUAGGAUCCAAGCCUCACAACCGUCCUCUCUUCGUCUCUGGGUAUGUUAAAGGGCACAAAGUCAACCGCAUGCUUGUGGAUGGUGGAUCAGCCAUAAACAUCAUGCCAAAGUCGACAAUGACUACAAUCGGCAUCAAGGCGGAUGAACUGUCCCUAAGUCGUCUACUAAUCCAAGGUUUUAAUCAAGGAGGACAAAGAGCGAUGGGCAUGAUCCGAGUGGAGAUGACUAUUGGUGAACUCAAGUCGAGCACGAUAUUCCACGUGAUUGAUGCAAGAACUUCCUACGGCUUACUCUUAGGAAGGCCUUGGAUCCAUGCGAAUGGAGUAGUACCGUCCACCCUUCACCAAUGCUUUAAAAUUUCUACCGAGAAGGAGUGAAGGUGAUCUAUUGGCGACACCAAACCAUUCACUGAAGCCGAAUCACAUUUCGCAGACGCCAAGUUCUACAUGGAUGAAGACAUGGUGCCCGAAGCUCUUCCAAAAGAGAUCAAAUCCACGGGCAAAGCAACACCUAAAAAGCAGGAGCGACAAGCCAUGCCCAAGAAGCAAGAAGAAGAAGUUACGCCGUCUCCAAGCAAGAACGAUAAUGAGCUGGCUAAACGUUGCAACAACAAAGGGGAGUAGGACGCCCUCAAAUGGACCAAACACACCCGUUCUUCCGAUACAUCCCGAUGUCGAGAAGAAAGAAUGGUCAAUCUCCGUUCGAAACUGGAGCAAACAAAGCCGAUGCACAGAGGCAUAUGGAUAAUGUAAAGUUGCUCAAGACGAAUGCAGUUUUACCUCUGACACAGCUAGGCGGCACUAAGGUCGCAAGACUACCGCAAGGCUUCAUAAAAGCUUACCAAAGGGGUGGAACCAAGCUUUCUCCCAACCCAGAGGACCGAAGAAGGUUUUGAUCCAGACGCCUAUAAACUCAUGUCGAAAGCUGGCUACGACUUCGCUUCUUCUUCGAAUCAUGGAAAGAAGGUUUCAAACACCAUUAACAAUAAAGAACGUGACCUCACCGAGACUCAAAAGAAGUUGAAGAAGCACGGUUACGGAGUUGAUAACAACAAAGCUGGACUAGGCUUCACAUCAAAUGCACCCGUGAAGAUUUCAAGCAAAGCGAAAAAAUGCUAGCACUCAACACAUCAGCGUGAGUAUUGAACAAAGAUCAUGAUGAGCCUAAAUCCACCCCUUGGACGUCAGUCUUCGAUAGGAUGAAUCGUUCAGACCCAGAAUGUCAGCACUUAACCGCAUUGGUGGUCAAAACCGAACCUCCGUCUUCAAGAGACUUAACAUGCCCAGCAUCCCAAAGCUCUGUUUUUGAAAGGUUGUCAAAACCUAAAGAAGCAAAAGCAACACGACUAGCUCUCUUCCUCGUCAGUCAGCUUUGGAAAGACUUUGAAGACAACAAGAAGUUUUCUAGAAAUAGGAAGACAACGUCAAAGGAAGAAAAGCUCGACAUGAUAGCAGAAAAAUGUGAUAUUCGAAAGCUCGAUUCCUUCAAGGAUGAAGCGCCAAGCAAUCUUGGAGGUGGACACAAAUGGACCACUAAAAGUAAGAAGGCGCACCAUCAUCCACACUGGACAAUCUUCAUGCCAACCAGCCCAAGAGGACGACACCGAAGAGGAAUUCCAAGAUGUCUUCCACAUCACGAUCCAAGAAAAGAAAGAAGAUGAGAUCCCCGAAGAAGAUGUCACUGCUGCGCCACCGCAACUUGAGGAUGGGGGGCAAUCCACGGUCGAUGAUCUCAAGGAGCUCAACUUAGGCACAAAAGAGGAGCAGAGACCUAUCUUCGUGAGUGCGCUGCUAAGUGCGGACUGAGGUAGACGAGUAUUACCAACUGUUAUCAGAGUACAAAGACGUCUUUGCUUGGACUUACAAGGAAAUGCCCGGCCUUGACCCUGUCAUCGCUGUACAUCAUCUUGCAGUUAAGCCUGGAACGAGACCGAUAAAGCAAACUCAAAGGCGCUAUCGAUCCGAGCUCAUUCCACAAAUCGAGGUAGAGAUUGACAAGCUAAUCGAAGCAGGCUCAUUCGAGAGGUGCAAUACCCCAAGUGGAUCUCCAAACAUCGUCAUCGUCCUUAAGAAAUCUGGACAAAUACGUGUUUGUGUAGACUUUCGGGACCUCAAUGACGCUUGCCCGAAAGAUGACUUUCCCUUGCCGAUCAUCGAAAUCAUGGUGGACGCAACCACUGGCCAUGAGCACUGUCAUUUAUGGACGGCUCUUCUGGAUACAAUCAAAUUCGUAUGGCUCUCGAAGAUAAGGAACUAACAGCAUUCCGCACUCCAAAAGGUAUCUACUGCUACAAGGUGAUGCCCUUUGGUCUAAAGAACGCUGGAGCCACAUAUCAGCGAGCAAUGCAGAAAAUCUUCAAUGACAUGCUACACAAAAAUGUAGAAUGUUAUGUAGACGACGUUGGUGGUCAAAACAAAGAAAAGAUCAGAUCACUUGAAGGAUUUGCGAGUAGUGUUCGAAAGGCUGCGAAAAUACAACCUCAAGAUGAACCCGUUAAAGUGUGCAUUUGGCGUCACCUCUGGAAAGUUUCUCGGCUUCGUUGUCAAGCACUGUGGCAUUGAAGUGGACCAAUCAAAGAUCAAGGCCAUUCAAAACAUGCCCGAGCCAAGAAACCUGCACGAGCUAAAAAGUCUACAAGGACGACUAGCCUUCAUCAGACGCUUCAUCUCCAACCUUGCAGGGCGUUGUCAACCGUUUAGUCGACUCAUGAAAAAGGAUGUCCCGUUCGUAUGGGACGAAGCGUGCCACAAUGCUUUUGAAAGCAUAAAAAAAUAUUUAUCAAGUCCACCUGUCCUGUGGGCGCCUGUGCUCGGGAAACCACUCAUAUUGUACAUCGCCGCUCAGGAAAGUUCAGUGGGAGCACUCUUGGCACAGGAAAAUGAAUUCCAGAAAGAAUGAGCGCUUUACUACUUGAGUCGAACACUCACCGGUGCUGAGUUGAACUACUCCCCAAUAGAAAAAAUGUGCCUUGCCUUGGUGUUUGCCAUCCAGAAGCUCAGACAUUACAUGCAUGCUUACACCAUCCACUUGGUUGCUAAAGCUGACCCGGUUAAAUACGUCCAAGCCAGUUUUGACAGGGCGACUAGCUAAAUGGGCGUUGAUUCUCAAUCAAUACGAGAUCAUUUACGUCCCAGCUAAAGCCGUCAAGGGACAAGCAUUAGCGGACUUCCUUGCCGAUCAUCCAAUCUCAGCCGAUUGGAAAAUCUCAGACGACUUGCCUGACGAGGAGGUAUUCUACAUUGACAUAUUCCCGAGAUGGACGAUGUUCUUCGACGGAUCCGCACGAGCAGACGGAGCGGGGGCAGGAGUAGUAUUCAUGUCGCCACAAAGGAAAAUACUACCUUAUUCAUUCCAACUAAGCGAAUUAUGCUCCAACAACGUCGCUGAGUACCAAGCACUAAUCAUCGGGCUCCAAAUGGCGAUCAACAUGGAAAUCACAACCCUUGAGGUAUAUGGCGACUCCAAGCUCAUAAUUAGUCAACUCUUGACUGAAUACGAGGUGAGGAAAGAUGAUCUCGUUCCGUACUUCCGACUGGCAACUCAGCUGCUACAAAAGUUCGAGGCCGUAACACUAGAACAUGUGCCAAGAAAAGAAAAUCAAAUGGCAGACGCUCUCGCUAACCUGGCCUCGAGUAUGACACUAGGAGAAGACGAAGCUGCAGAUGUGCCAGUUUGCCAAAGAUGGGUCAUCCCCCUCGCCACUGAAAUGCUACUAGAUGAUACAAAUGUCAUCUCGGUACUUCCAGUCGAUGUUGAAGAAUGGAGACAACCAUUGAUUGACUACUUGGAGUAUGGGAAACUUCCAAAUGAUCCUAGACACCGCUCUGAAAUACGUCGACGAGCACCUCGCUUCCUCUACUACAAAGAAACACUCUACCGGCGCUCUUUCGAAGGAACUUCUGAGAUGCCUAGGUGAGAAGAAGCAAUCAAGCCAUGGAAGAAGCACAUUCAGGCGUGUGCGGGGCGCAUCAAUCUGGACCAAAGCUACAUUUCCAGCUCAAAAGAAUGGGUUACUACUGGCCAAGCAUGGUGAAGGAUUGCCUGGAACAUGCCAAAAUGUGCCAAGCCUGCCAAUUCCACGCCAACUUCAUUCAUCAACCACCUGAACCAUUACACCCUACAACUGCUUCAUGGCCAUUCGAUGCAUGGGGACUGGACGUCGUGGGACCAAUUACUCCAAAGUCAUCUGCAGGAGAAGCCUACAUCCUAGCUGUAACAGAUUACUUUUCCAAGUGGGCUGAAGCCAUACCCCUAAGGGAAGUAAAAAAGGAAACUGUUGUCCGUUUCAUCAAGAACAUAUCAUCCACAGAUAUGGUGUGCCUCGCUAUUAUCACGGACAAUGGAAAACAGUUCUCCAACCGACUUGUAGACGAGCUCUGUGAGAAAUACAAGUUCAAGCAGCACAAGUCUUCCAUGUAUCAUGCUCCGGCCAACGGUCUCGCGGAAGCAUUCAACAAAACAUUGUGCAACCUCUUAAAGAAGGUGAUCGGCCGAACAAAGAGGACUGGCAUGAAAGAAUAAGCGAAGCACUUUGGGCAUAUAGGACGACGCAUAGGACUCCUACCCAAGCUACCCCUUAUUCUCUCGUAUAUGGCGUGGAAGCUGUUUUACCGCUAGAAAGUCAAAUCCCCUCACUUAGGAUGGCUAUACAAGAAGGCUUGACUGAUGAAGAGAAUGCAAAGUUGCGCCUUCAAGAGUUGGAAUCACUUGACGAAAGAAGGCUCGAAGCUCAACAACACCUGGAAUGCUACCAAGCAUGGCUAUCCAAGGCAUUCAACAAGAAGGUCCGCCCAAGGUCUUUCCAAACUGGAGAUCUUGUCCUUGCAUUACGAAGGCCUAUCAUCACAACUCACAAGACAAAAAGCAAGUUCACAUCAAAGUGGGAUGGACCGUACGUAAUACAAGAGGUCUACACGAACGGCGCCUACUUAAUCAUGGCAGAAGACGGCUUGAAGAUCGGUCCCAUCAACGGCAGAUUCUUGAAGCGUUACUACCCCUAAAAGGCGACGACCAGACUCCUAGCCUGCAUGAGCCUAAACUGCACAGGGCACAAAGCUCCUGGCCCGCAAGAGCGUAAACUGUGUACGGCAAAAUCAUCAUCAAAAUCACCAUAAAAAAAAAAAAAAAAAAUUCAUCGCUCAUUUUGAACUACGUUAUGACUUGAUCUCUUCUUUAGAAGGUACGUAGGCAACUUGAGACUUCAAAAUUUCAGUACGUCACAUCAUCAUAAAAAAACACAAACACUUUGAAGAAUAAAAGCGAAUUCAAAAUAUGAAUACUUUAUUUCUUUAAUGAAUGAUUUGGUUACAAAGCCGUAUCACAAAGGUGAGCAUUACGCCAACGUCACCACAGAGGAAAGUUGUGACCAAAAGGCACUACACAGCAUAAACUCGUUGCAGUCUUUUGCACAACCCUACAAGGUAAAGGUGACGCAUUGGAACAAGCUCCAAGCAGCAGCGACAACGAGCCCAUGGCAAGCAGCAAGGUCAAUGUGCACGGCAACUCCCCCACCGAGGAAAGUUGUAACCAAAAAGCACUUACACAGCUAACUCGCUGCAACCUUUUGCACAACCCCACAUGGUAAAGGCGACACACUGAACAGGCUCCAAGCAGCAUCGGCAAAUAAAGGAGCUAUAAGACAGUCCUUCAAGCACGCCUGCAGUGGCAGAGGAAACCAAAAUGCUACGCAAACUCGGGCAGAGGCCCGCUGCAGUCCUUGCACAGCUCCACACGGCAGCGCACCACCGAGGGAAAACUAUGAUCAAAAGACUACACAGCGAAACCUCGUUGCAGUAUCUGCACAUCCACGACCUGCUACACGACCCUACAGUUUCGUGAGAUCCUGGCGUCAAGCUCCGCUUCUCAAUAUUAGAGAUUCCUGACAUUAUAAGCAAAGAAAUCCAUCAGUGGAGGCAUACACGCAUUGUGCAUAAAAAAAAAAAAAAAAAUAUAUUAUUAUAUAAUAUAAUUGAAAAAAUCAGCUUAUAUAUUAUGCAUGGGUGCAACCAUCAGCCAACUUUCAUUAUAUAUUAUAAAGGUAUAUAUAUUAUGUGUUCAGUGUGCGUGCGGUGAUGGAACAAGAAAGCCCGUGUGUGUAUGUGUGCACGGGGUUGAUGUGACAAAUCAGCAAACCAACUUCCAUAUUAUAUAUAUAAGGUAUAUAUAUGUGUACAUAUAUGCAACUGUGAUGGGCUGUGUAGAGGACAACCACCUGCAACAUACAUAUAUAUAUAUAUAUAUAUAUAUAUAUAUGCAAACCGUGAUGGGCUGUGAGAGGACAACCACCUGCAACAUAUAUAUAUAUAUGCAAACCGUGAUGGACAACCAGGUUCCGUAUAUAUAUAUAUAUGAAUGCAUGCAUGCACGACCCCAGAACAUCAGAGUCGUCCUCAACUUGAAGAAGAUAAGCCUUACCGUGUAAAGGCUCCGCAAAGGAAGGCUAGCGACUGCCUUCGUUUCUUCCUUCACCACGGCCUUCAAACCUACACUUGCAGCUACUUUUUUGUCCAGCGCCAAGUUCAACAGACAGCAGAAGCGAAGAACGCAGUUGUAGCGAGGAAGCAGUGCACGCAGUUGUGAUUGCAGUCAGCAGCAGCGCAUGAUUGCCGACAAUGGUGCAUGGCGAUGCAAGCAGUAAGCAAUGCAGUGGCUGAGGUUGUGCAAUGGUUGUGCAGUGACGGUGCGAUCCCAUGUAUAAGUAUACAUAUAAUAUAUAUAUGCAGAAGAGACUCAGAGGAGCAAAAGAAGUGCGGUGAUUGUGCAAAUAAUGGUGACUGUCGCAAACAUGAUCCGCUUGAAGAGAGGAGUGCAGAGAAGAAUGCAGUACAGUAGUUGUGCAAACAGUGAUCCGCGUGAAGAGAGGAGUGCAGAGAAGAAUGCAGUACAGUAGCUGUGCAAAACAUGAUCCGCAUGCGAUGCAGUGACUGUGUAAAAAGCAAUCCGCAUGCAAUGAAGAAUGUAAUAAGGUGACUGUGCAAGUGAAAGAUGGUCCGCAUGCGAGAAGAACGCAGGCAGUGAGGAGGCCACCAAAAAAAAAAACCCAGCCGUGCUAUUGUCAAGCCACUCACGAGUGUGUAUACUAUUAGCAAGUCACCAUCUAAAAGGAAAUGGGUGGUGAUGACAAAAUGAUGCUCCAGUCACCAUCUAAAAGAAAUGGGUGCACUAGUCACCAUCUAAAAGGAAGUGGGUGCAUAGGGAAGUAAUGCAUCUUAGUCAGAUAUGCUUUUAUUUGCGUUUCAACACAACAUACUGAAUAAAUAGGCAUGUCCAUUAAUAUCUCCGAGAAAUCAAAAAACCAAAAAAAAAACAAAAAAAAAAAAAAAAAAAAAAAAAAAAAAAAAAAAAAAAAAAACAAAAAAAACAAAAAAAAAAAAAAAAAACAAAAAAAAGAGCUCACGAAUGUCACUUGUGUGAAGCCUCAGUACUUGAGCCUUGGUACUCGGUGGAACCCUAAAGGAGGGAGGCACUGAAGAUAGCUAUUCGGAGCCUCAAUACUUGGUCGAACUCCAGAUGACGAAGGCAAAAAGUGCCUCUGGAAUACAUCCACGAACUUCCGAUGGUCACUUUGAAUUCGACCUUCGGAGCCAUCAGCUGAUCAAGCUUCCUCUUCAUGCUCGUCGAAUAACAUUUGCAAGCACAUGCAACUCUCUAUUUUCACGCCUGAGCUGCCUAAUCUUGACUAAGAGAUGCCACCUCGGCUGUCAAUGAUUCAACCUGGCGAGUUCGAGCAAGUAAGCGUUGGCCCCAUGUUGAAACAGAGUUCGCACACUGGACACUGAGAGCCUGAGACUCUGAACAGCUAACUCAUCGGACCGUCGUGAAAGUAUCCUAUUAUCUUUAGGAGUGAUGAGGUUUCUGGCUACAACACGUAGCCAUUGUUGCAUCCCUCAUCACAAGUCUUCAACUGUAAGGGGGACCAUUAGAGAAAAAAAAGGACGGGCGCCAUACAUUACCCUGACGCGGUGCGCCUGUGUCAUUGCUGAGACUCAAAUCUAAGCAAAUGUUAAAAGGGGAAGCCAUUUUCAAAAAUACUAAAAGAACAGGGUAUAGGAAGUAAAAUCUCAGAGCAGCAGAGAUAAUUUUUCACGGGCAGCAAUCUUCAAAUUGUGCAUGUUGAAUACAAUUGACACCUCUUUAAAAUGAGAGGCAGCACAACCAUUCGUUCAUAAGUCGAAGAGACACCACUCUCCGAUUUCAAAACCCGGAUUUUCCUGCGUAAAGGUCCGUCGGACACUUUUUCAGACAAUUCUCAGCUUUCGGCUACACGUGCAACUUUGUCAGAAAUCACUGACAAAGUUGAAAACGUGUGAAGUCCAUUACGCCAACUACCGCACUUCUGCGACAAGCGUGGGGUGACAAGGCCACGCUCACCCUACCACUUGAUGUUGAGAGCUCACCAUAUAAUUCGACCCCCAUCCUAUACCAAAACUCAGUUUUCUUCCUCCCUGAAAAACAUCCAGCCUGACCCCUCUCCUUGCCGAAGGCAUUUGCAACCAAAACUCAGUUUUCUCCUCCUUGAAAACACAGCCUGACCCCUCUUCCUUGCCGAAGGCAUCUGCAACCAAAACUCAGUUUUUUCCUCCCUGAAAACAUCCAGCCUGACCUUUUUCCUCGCGAAAGACAUCUGGCAACCAAAACUCGGUUUUUUCCUCCCUGGAAGGCCUCUUCAACCAAGCCACACUAGAGCAAAGUAUCUCUAUCACAGGGGUUGAGAGCAAGUAUCUCAUAGCAUGCUUUCUCCCUACUCCUUUUCUUUGUCCUCCCUCUCACUGCGAAGACAGGAUAAAGAAAGCAAUAUGUCGGAACCUCCCACUCAAGCUCUAAUGAUGCAGGUGAAGAUGAUGCAGAUGAAGAUGAUGCAUCGAAGCAUAUGGAGACAAGCGCGACGAAUGCAUGUGUGAUCGUCCGCUACUUCUUCAAAAGCAAAAGUAUCUCAUAUCACUGGGUCGAAAGCAAAGGUAUCUCAUAUCAUGCUCUUCCCCCAUCUUCUCCUUUGCCCUUGCUCUUGCCUGCUGAACAAGGAGAAGGAAGCAAUCAGUCGGAACCUGAAAUUAAAUGUUCGACCAGAAACUGAUUGCCCGGACCUUUGCCUGGUUACUUACCUAGCGUUGCUCUCGAGUGCUCAUCUUCAACUGCUGAUAUGUCUCGAAUUCCUCAGCAAACGCUUCAGGGGUAUGGAUCUGUUGACAUCGGCGCUUUGCACUGAGCUGCAAGCAUGAGUGAGUCGCUGAGAGGUGGUGCCUCCGAAGACCAUUUAAAGUAAAAGUUGCAUACCGCUUCAGCUAUGCAAAAGAAACAAGCAGAGAAGAUGCAACACAACGAGCUGGAACAAUCAUGAAGCACGAAGCCUUCCCUGCAUGACCACAUAAUCCAGACAGAGGAGUUCAAGUAAAGAUCCAAGCUGGACACCGUUGCCUAACCAAAAGGCUCGAGAAGCUUUAACAACCUUUUGCUGGCACCGUCACCGAAGAGCAAGCCUCGAUUCCUUAAGAUCAAGACCAACUGGAAGAAGAGCCCAUCGAUUGAAGAUCAUAUGUUAACCAAACUGCUCAGGGUUCAUUAUGAAAAUGCUGCAACUUCCUUGAUCUUUCAAAGCAUGCAUGUCCUGAAACUGCUCGUGGUGUUUAAGUUCGAAAUCAAGCCUCAACGACCCGACUCAAGAUCAAGUGUCCACCACCCUUGAUCAAUCCAGUUCAAGGAGUCUGUGGAAAGUCCUUUGGAGGAAACCAGAAAACUCCUCAGCCUAGUUCAAGACAAAGCUGUGGAAACAAGCAUAAAAAAUACGUGCUAAUUCAUCCAUUAUCAAAGCCAAGUCGUACUACACGAAGCUCCUUGUGGUCCAAUUCAUCAAAUCAAGCCUCAACGGCCCUUGAGAAUCCAAACAAAAUUCAAACAAAGCCUAACGGCAUUUAAGAAACUCCCAACAGUCCAAGAUUAAGCCUCAACGGCCCUUGGAUCGACAACUGCAUUAAGGGACUUUCAAAACGCAUCUUCUACAUGCAACAAGCACAUGUAUACAAGCGUCUUGAAGGGGGGCAUUUGUAGACAUUGAAAUUCGGUGGCAUAAAUGUUAGCCAUUGCAUUAAGAUCACAUUUGUAAAACAUUAAAAUUAGUUGUAAUAAAUGUUGACCAUUGUAUUAAAAUUACAACCUUCAUUCAACUUCACACCCAACAUAACACCACCAAAAAUUCACCUACAACACCCACNNNNNNNNNNNNNNNNNNNNNNNNNNNNNNNNNNNNNNNNNNNNNNNNNNNNNNNNNNNNNNNNNNNNNNNNNNNNNNNNNNNNNNNNNNNNNNNNNNNNNNNNNNNNNNNNNNNNNNNNNNNNNNNNNNNNNNNNNNNNNNNNNNNNNNNNNNNNNNNNNNNNNNNNNNNNNNNNNNNNNNNNNNNNNNNNNNNNNNNNNNNNNNNNNNNNNNNNNNNNNNNNNNNNNNNNNNNNNNNNNNNNNNNNNNNNNNNNNNNNNNNNNNNNNNNNNNNNNNNNNNNNNNNNNNNNNNNNNNNNNNNNNNNNNNNNNNNNNNNNNNNNNNNNNNNNNNNNNNNNNNNNNNNNNNNNNNNNNNNNNNNNNNNNNNNNNNNNNNNNNNNNNNNNNNNNNNNNNNNNNNNNNNNNNNNNNNNNNNNNNNNNNNNNNNNNNNNNNNNNNNNNNNNNNNNNNNNNNNNNNNNNNNNNNNNNNNNNNNNNNNNNNNNNNNNNNNNNNNNNACUUCUGAGAUGCCUAGGUGAGGAAGAAGCCAAUCAAGCCAUGGAAGAAGCACAUUCAGGCGUGUGCGGGGCGCAUCAAUCUGGACCAAAGCUACAUUUCCAGCUCAAAAAGAAUGGGUUACUACUGGCCAAGCAUGGUGAAGGAUUGCCUGGAACAUGCCAAAAUGUGCCAAGCCUGCCAAUUCCACGCCAACUUCAUUCAUCAACCACCUGAACCAUUACACCCUACAACUGCUUCAUGGCCAUUCGAUGCAUGGGACUGGACGUCGUGGGACCAAUUACUCCAAAGUCAUCUGCAGGAGAAGCCUACAUCCUAGCUGUAACAGAUUACUUUUCCAAGUGGGCUGAAAGCCAUACCCUAAGGGAAGUAAAAAAGGAAACUGUUGUCCGUUUCAUCAAAAGAACAUAUCAUCCACAGAUAUGGUGUGCCUCGCUACAAUUAUCACGGACAAUGGAAAACAGUUCUCCAACCGACUUGUAGACGAGCUCUGUGAGAAAUACAAGUUCAAGCAGCACAAGUCUUCCAUGUAUCAUGCUCCGGCCAACGGUCUCGCGGAAGCAUUCAACAAAACAUUGUGCAACCUCUUAAAGAAGGUGAUCGGUCCGCCGAACAAAGAGGACUGGCAUGAAAGAAUAAGCGAAAGCACUUUGGGCAUAUAGGACGACGCAUAGGACUCCUACCCAAGCUACCCCUUAUUCUCUCGUAUAUGGCGUGGAAGCUGUUUUACCGCUAGAAAGUCAAAUCCCUCACUUAGGAUGGGCUAUACAAGAAGGCUUGACUGAUGAAGAGAAUGCAAAGUUGCGCCUUCAAGAGUUGGAAUCACCUUGACGAAAGAAGGCUCGAAGCUCAACAACACCUGGAAUGCUACCAAGCCAUGGCUAUCCAAGGCAUUCAACAAGAAGGUCCGCCCAAGGUCUUUCCAAACUGGAGAUCUUGUCCUUGCAUUACGAAGGCCUAUCAUCACAACUCACAAGACAAAAAGCAAGUUCACAUCAAAGUGGGAUGGACCGUACGUAAUACAAGAGGUCUACACGAACGGCGCCUACUUAAUCAUGGCAGAAGACGGCUUGAAGAUCGGUCCCAUCAACGGCAGAUUCUUGAAGCGUUACUACCCCUAAAAGGCGACGACCAGACUCCUAGCCUGCAUGAGCCUAAACUGCACAGGGCAAAAGCUCCUGGCCCGCAAGAGCGUAAACUGUGUACGGCAAAAUCAUCAUCAAAAUCACCAUAAAAAAAAAAAAAAAAAAUUCAUCGCUCAUUUGAACUACGUUAUGACUUGAUCUCUUCUUUAGAAGAGUACGUAGGCAACUUGAGACUUCAAAAUUUCAAGUACAGUCACAUCAUCAUAAAAAAACACAAACACUUUGAAGAAUAAAAAGCGAAUUCAAAAUAUGAAUACUUUAUUUCUUUAAAUGAAAUGAUUUUGGUUACAAAGCCGUAUCACAAAGGUGAGCAUUACGCCAACGUCACCACAGAGGAAAGUUUAUUGUGACCAAAAGGCACUACACAGCAUAAACUCGUUGCAGUCUUUUGCACAACCCUACAAGGUAAAGGUGACGCAUUGGAACAAGCUCCAAGCAGCAGCGACAACGAGCCCAUGGCAAGCAGCAAGGUCAAUGUGCACGGCAACGUCCCCCACCGAGGAAAGUUGUAACCAAAAAGGCACUACACAGCAUAAACUCGCUGCAACCUUUUGCACAACCCCACAUGGUAAAGGCGACACACUGGAACAGGCUCCAAGCAGCAUCGGCAAAUAAGGCAGCUAUAAGACAGUCCUUCAAAGCACGCUUGCUAGUGGCAGAGGGAAACCAAAAUGCUACGCAAAACUCGCGGCAGAGGCCCGCUGCAGUCCCUUGCACAGCUCCACACGGCAGCGCACCACCGAGGGAAAACUAUGAUCAAAAGACACUACACAGCGAAACCUCGUUGCAGUAUCUGGCACAUCCACGACCUGCUACCACGACCCUACAAGUUUCGUGAAGAUCCUGGCGUCAAGCUCCGCCUUCUCAAUAUUAGAGAUUCCUGACAUUAUAAGCAAAGAAAUCCAUCAGUGGAGGCAUACACGCAUUGUGCAUAAAAAAAAAAAAAAAAUAUAUAUAUAUAUAUAUAUAAUGAAAAAAUCAGCUUAUAUAUAUAUGCAUGGGUGCAACCAUCAGCCAACUUUCAUAUAUAUAUAUAUAAAGGUAUAUAUAUAUAUGUGUACAUGUGUGCGUGCGGUGAUGGAACAAAGAAAGCCCGUGUGUGUAUGUGUGCACGGGGUGAUGUGACAAAUCAGCAAACCAACUUCCAUAUAUAUAUAUAAAGGUAUAUAUAUGUGUACAUAUAUGCAAACUGUGAUGGGCUGUGUGAGAGGACAACCACCUGCAACAUACAUAUAUAUAUAUAUAUAUAUAUAUAUAUAUAUAUGCAAACCGUGAUGGGCUGUGAGAGGACAACCACCUGCAACAUAUAUAUAUAUAUAUGCAAACCGUGAUGGACAACCAGGUUCCGUAUAUAUAUAUAUAUGAAUGCAUGCAUGCACGACCCCAGAACAUCAGAGUCGUCCUCAACUUGAAGAAGAUAAGCCUUACCGUGUAAAGGCUCCGCAAAGGAAGGCUAGCGACUGCCUUCGUUUCUUCCUUCACCACGGCCUUCAAACCUACACUUGCAGCUACUUUUUUGUCCAGCGCCAAGUUCAACAGACAGCAGAAGCGAAGAACGCAGUGUAGCGAGGAAGCAGUGCACGCAGUUGUGAUUGCAGUCAGCAGCAGCGCAUGAUUGCCGGACAAUGGUGCAGUGGCGAUGCAAGGCAGUAAGCAAUGCAGUGGCUGAGGUUGUGCAAUGGUUGUGCAGUGACGGUGCGAUCCCAUGUAUAAGUAUACAUAUGUAUAUAUAUAUGCAGAAGAGACUCAGAGGAGCAAAAGAAGUGCGGUGAUUGUGCAAAUAAUGGUGACUGUCGCAAACAAUGAUCCGCGUGAAGAGAGGAGUGCAGAGAAGAAUGCAGUACAGUAGUUGUGCAAAACAGUGAUCCGCGUGAAGAGAGGAGUGCAGAGAAGAAUGCAGUACAGUAGCUGUGCAAAACAGUGAUCCGCAUGCGAUGCAGUGACUGUGUAAAAAGCAAUCCGCAUGCAAUGAAGAAUGUAAUAAGGUGACUGUGCAAGUGAAAAGAUGGUCCGCAUGCGAGAAGAACGCAGUGCAGUGAGGAAGGCCACCAAAAAAAAAAACCCAGCCGUGCUAUUGUCAAGCCACUCACGAGUGUGUAUUACUAUUAGCAAGUCACCAUCUAAAAGGAAAUGGGUGGUGAUGACAAAAUGAUGCUUCCAGUCACCAUCUAAAAAGAAAUGGGUGCACUAGUCACCAUCUAAAAGGAAGUGGGUGCAUAGGGAAGUAAUGCAUCUUAGUCAGAUAUGCGUUUUAUUUGCGUUUCAACACAACAUACUGAAUAAAAUAAGGCAUGUCCAUUAAUAUCUCCGAGAAAUUACACAAAAAAAACAAAAAAACAAAAAAAAACAAAAAAAAACAAAAAAACAAAAAAAAAAACAAAAAAAAAACAAAAAAACAAAAAAAAAAAACAAAAAAAAAGAGCAUUCACGAAUGUCACUUGUGUGAAGCCUCAGUACUUGGAGCCUUGGUACUCGGUGGAACCCUAAAGGAGGGAGGCACUGAAGAUAGCUUAUUCGGAGCCUCAAUACUUGGUCGAACUCCAGAUGACGAAGGCAAAAAGUGCCUCUGGAAUACAUCCACGAACUUCCGAUGGUCACUUUGAAUUCGACCUUCGGAGUCCAUCAGCUGAUCAAGCUUCCUCUUCAUGCUCGUCGAUAACUAUUUGCAAGCACAUGCAACUCUCUAUUUUCACGCCUGAGCUGCCUAAUCUCUUGACUAAGAGAUGCCACCUCGGCUGUCAAUGAUUCAACCUGGCGAGUUCGAGCAAGUAAGCGUUGGCCCAUGUUGGAAACAGAGUUCGCACACUGGACACUGAGAGCCUGAGACUCUUGAACAGCUAACUCAUCGGACCGUCGUGAAAGUAUCCUAUUAUCUUUAGGAGUGAUGAGGUUUCUGGCUACAACCGUAGCCAUUGUUGCAUCCCUCAUCACAGAGUCUUCAACUGUAAGGGGACCAUUAGAAGAAAAAAAGGACGGGCGCCAUACAUUACCCUGACGCGGUGCGCCUGUGUCAUUGCUGAGACUCAAAUCUAAGCAAAUGUUAAAAGGGGAAGCCAUUUUCAAAAAUACUAAAAGAACAGGGUUAUAGGAAGUAAAAUCUCAGAGCAGCAGAGAUAAUUUUUCACGGGCAGGCAAUCUUCAAAUUGUGCAUGUUGAAUACAAUUGACACCUCUUUAAAAUGAGAGGCAGCACAACCAUUCGUUCAUAAGUCGAAGAGACACCACUCUCCGAAUUUCAAAACCCGGAUUUUCCUGCGUAAAGUCCGUCGACACUUUUCAGACACAAUCUCAGCUUUCGGCUAUCACGUGCAACUUUGUCAGAAAUCACUGACAAAGUUGAAAACGUGUGAAGUCCAUUACGCCAACUACCGCACUUCUGCCGACAAGCGUGGGUGACAAGGCCACGCUCACCCUACCACUUGAUGUUGAGAGCUCACCAUAUAAUUCGACCCCCAUCCUAUACCAAAACUCAGUUUUCUUCCUCCCUGAAAACACAUCCAGCCUGACCCCUCUUCCUUGCCGAAGGCAUUUGCAACCAAAACUCAGUUUUCCUCCUCCCUGAAAACACAUCCAGCCUGACCCCUCUUCCUUGCCGAAGGCAUCUGCAACCAAAACUCAGUUUUCUUCCUCCCUGAAAACACAUCCAGCCUGACCUUUCUUCCUCGCCGAAGACAUCUGCAACCAAAACUCGGUUUUUUCUUCCUCCCUGGAAGCGCCUCUUCAACCAAGCCACACUAGAGCAAAGGUAUCUCAUAUCACAGGGGUUGAGAGCAAGAGUAUCUCAUAGCAUGCUUUCUCCCUAUCCUUUUCUUUGUCCUCCCUCUUCACUGCGAAGACAAGGAUAAAGAAAGCAAUAUGUCGGAACCUCCACUCAAGCUCCUAAUGAUGCAGGUGAAGAUGAUGCAGAUGAAGAUGAUGCAUCGAAGCAUAUGGAGACAAGCGCGACGAAUGCAUGUGCUGAUCGUCCGCUACUUCUUCAAAAGCAAAAGUAUCUCAUAUCACUGGGGUCGAAAGCAAAGGUAUCUCAUAUCAUGCUCUUCCCCCAUCUUCUCCUUUGCCCUUGCUCUUGCCUGCUGAACAAGGAGAAAGGAAGCAAUCAGUCGGAACCUGAAAUUAAAUGUUCGACCAGAAACUGAUUGCCCGGAACCUUUGCCUGGUUACUUACCUAGCGUUGCUCUCGAGUGCUCAUCUUCAACUGCUGAUAUGUCUCGAAUUCCCUCAGCAAACGCUUCAGGAGUAUGGAUCUGUUGACAUCGGCGCUUUGCACUGAAGCUGCCAAGCAUGAGUGAGUCGCUGAGAGGUGGUGCUCCGAAGAACCAUUUAAAGGUAAAAGGUUGCAUACCGCUUCAGCUAUGCAAAAGAAACAAGCAGAGAAGAAUGCAACACAACGAGCUGGAACAAAUCAUGAAGCACGAAGCCUUCCCUGCAUGACCACAUAAUCCAGACAGAGGAGUUCAAGUAAAGAUCCAAGCUGGACACCGUUGCUCUAACCAAAAGGCUCGAGAAGCUUUAACAACCUUUUGCUGGCACCGUCACCGAAGAGCAAAGCCUCGAUAAUCCUUAAAGAUCAAGUCACCAACUGGAAGAAGAGCCCAUCGAUCUUGAAGAUCAUACUGUUAACCAAACUGCUCAGGGUUCAUAUGAAAAUGCUGCGAACUUCCUUGAUCUUUCAAAGCAUGCAUGUCCUGAAACUGCUCGUGGUCAUGUUUAAGUUCGAAAUCAAGCCUCAACGACCCUGACUCAAGAUCAAGUGUCCACCACCCUUGAGUCAAAUCCAGUUCAAGAUUAAGUCUGUGGAAAGUCCUUUGGAGGAAACCAGAAAACUCCUCCAGCCUAGUUCAAGAUCAAAGCUGUGGAAAAUCAACAAGCAUAACAAAAUACGUGCUAAUUCAUCCAUUAUCAAAGCCAAGGAUCGUCUACUACACGAAGCUCCUUGUGGUCCAAUUUCAUCCAAGAUCAAGCCUCAACGGCCCUUGAAGAAAUUCCAAACAAAAUUCAAGAACAAGCCUAACGGCAUUUGAAGAAACUCCCAGACCAGUCCAAGAUUAAGCCUCAACGGCCCUUGGAUCGACAACUGCAUUAAGGGACUUCAAAACGCAUCUUCUACAUGCAACAAGCACAUGUAUACAACGCGUCUUGAAGUGGGGGCAUUUGUAGACAUUGAAAUUUCGGUGGCAUAAAUGUUAGCCAUUGCAUUAAGAUCACAUUUGUAAAACAUUAAAAUUUUAGUGUAAUAAAUGUUGACCAUUGUAUUAAAAUUACAACCUUCAUUCACUUCACCUACAACAUACACCCAAGUUUCACCUACAACACCCACCAAAAUUCACCUACAACACCCACCAAAAAUUCACCUACAACACCCACCAAAACAAAUGGAUGGUGGUGAUUCAUUCCCAAGGCCUAUAAAUAGGCUCCUCCAUCAAAGAAUCAAAGGAGGUUUUUUGGCAUACACUUUCUCUACUCCCAAAUUGGAAGAGAAUUCACACCAUACUAAAGCCUUGAAGCCUCGAAACUCUGAAGCUCUCAAGCAAAUCCCGAAGGAUCAAGAAAGCCCUCUUCAUUCUUCGUGAAAUCCUCAUUCAAGAUCAAGCCCUAACGCCCCCCUUGAAGAACUUCCACCAAUUCAAGAUCAAGCCCCGACGGCCCUUGAAGAAGGUGUUCAUCAUUCCUCAACCGUUCGUCCAAGAUCAAGCCUCGACGGCCCUUGGAUCAACAACACUACAUCUACAUGUUUCAAAGAUAGAAUCAGAGGAUAAAUUUGUAGAAGAGAUUGUAACCCCUAAAUCAUUAAUACAAAUAUUAUUUUGUACACGUGUUCUUGUCUCUUUCGUUUCAGGAAUUUCCGUGUUCACAGGGACAAAUACGCCGUAAAUAUAAAAGGGUCGAAACUAAGAAUAUGAAAUACGGAAUACGUAAUUUUAAACAGUGAAAUCCGAGAACGGGAUUUCACAUAUACUCAUAAUGAGGAACGCCAUGAGCCGAGCCGCCUCACAACGAGCACCGCCUCCAGCCGAGCAACCACCUCCCUGCGAGCAUUGCCUCUAUCCGAGCAACCGAGCAACGUGUGCUACCUCUAGUUGAGUAUUGCUUCAUGUUGAGCACCGCCUCAUGUCGAGUACUGGUUCCAAAUGACAUCUAGUCACUUCAGCCUGCACAUGGAUUGGAUUUGAAGUCUUCAGCCAAAAGACUCUCUUGACUGAAGAUUUGGGGAACUCAUGUUGUAGCAUAUAUUAGGCACUAGUAUGUGGGCCUCACAACCUAGCCUAUGAAGCAUGUAGGAGGUGAAGGGUUCCCUUAUAUUAUACCUCACUUUAAAGGGAGAGAAAGAGAACAAACACGUCUAUAUAGCCUCCAUGUACAUUGUAACCUUCAUUGAUAUAGUGAAACCAACUCAACACCAUAUGGACAUAGCCCCAACUUGGGGUGAACCACGAUAUAUCUUUGUGUUCUUAAGCGUUUGUGUGAUUUACGGUUAGAUUUACAUUGAUCUAAGAUCGAAUGAUUUUGUGCAUCAACAAAUCUUCACUUCUUCUAGAAUCUCGAAAGCAUGGCCAAACAAGCAUAUGAAUGGAACAUUCGAAAGCACCAGAGCCGAAAUGAUCAAUCUAAGCUCUGGAGCCAGAGUCUUAAAAGCCAAAAUUGGCUAACACAUUCGUAGUUAAGUUCGCUUCACCAUACAAACGCAUUAUAUGAAGAAUGAACACAUAUUUUAAUGACAAAAUAGAAUACAGAUGCCCACAAUGCAUAUAAGGCACUACUCAUAUUAAUUAAUCUAUACGGCCCUAAGUGAGAACUACUAUUCAGUAGCUCAAAGAAAACCAAGAAAUAACUUUGAAGGCAAGUGGCAAAUUGUCUUGGAGCAUUUCUCUUCAAUUUACUACGUUUCGAAUUUAACUCUUACUUUUUAGUUUAGAUGAAUUUAGUGUAAUUUAUUCCAUCAUUUGGUGAAAUUUUUUGAAGAAGCAUAUGACCAAAUUUUUUUAAUUAGAUGGUCAGAUUUUGUCAUUAUUAUCCAUGGGUAGUAAUAUCCAUAGACCAAUUUUUACUUCUUACACAUCUCUCAAGUUUCGUUUGUCGGAUUGAAUAAAUUGAAGAAUAUCAAUAACAACAAAAGUGUGUAGGAGAUAAAAUUAAGUGUGUGGAUUGCACUUUCCUUAUCCAAAUGAGUGAUCCAAGUCUGAUCCAACUAAAAAAAUAUGUGAGUAUUUAACAGAGUCGGACAAGAAGUAGUAAUGAAUUCUCCGCCGAAUAAAAAGAACAUGUUGGAAAAACCUAUGGUCCCGUUAUCCCUAAUUUUCUUAAUUCGAUUCUCGUGAAUAAUAAGUUCAUUACCAAAUUAAUACGGACUUAUUAUGUGGCUUAACUCAAAUUUUCAUUCCUUAAUUAUCAAAGAAAUUCAAGUUUUUUCAGCACUUGAAACCACUGUUUCACGAAUUGAUUUUGCAAUUUCUCCUCACAAAAACAUUAAAAGUGUUGUAUAACUUAACUAAUCAUUUUAGCAUUUAGGUUGAAUGUUCUAAGAGGUUUGUAGUAUAGUUAGUUAAGAGUAUUCACCUCUACACUGGAGAUCUUAAGUUCAAUUUCCCCUUCUCAAUACUUCUACCAAAAAUAGUCAAUCUUGUAUCUGAUUUAGGAAUUUCUACUUCAUAUUAUUCCUAAAAUAAAAAAUAUAAAUGAUUCCAAAAUUCGACGUGUGUCUAAUUUCAGUUUAAAUAAAAUUAAAAAGAAGUUGUGAAGGUAAGAAUAUUUGAAAGCAACAUUCAAAAUGCGGGAAGAAAAGAAUAAAACGGAUGGGUGGCGGAUGGCGGUAGUUCCAAUAUCAGCCAAUCAUCAGGAGUUGGAUUGAGGACAGAACCAAAGCCAGUCCUUCCUCUUUUAUAUAUUAUAUACAUAUAUUGAUAUAUGAAGAUGUUAGUUUUAUUACUUGCAUUUUGUUGAGAGUCUGAAUCCCACGUCGGAGAAAGAAAAGACCUUGCAUGUACUUAUAAAUAGUUAAAAUUCUUGCAAUUGAUGAAGUGUGUUUAAUUAGAUUCUAGUUUUUGCUUUAGAAAUUUUAUUCAAAUUUGAAGAAUAAAGUUGUAUGGAUUUUUGAAGAAUUUGACAGAAAUUGUGGUGCAUGAUGAAUAGAGUGGUAAACAGGUGAAUGUAAGUAAAGUUUGAUAACAGAAGAAGAUUUAGAAAAGCCAACAAUCUGUAUAAAGAAGAUAGGAUUCUUGAAGCUAGUCCUUCCCUCAAGAAAAGCCAACAGUCUGUCUACAAAUUUCAUGUCAAGUCUUCUGCAAUAGUGAGAGAAGUCCAUAUGGCACGUAGGGAAAUAGGUCGAUUCAAAGAAAGCAGAACGGACACAGACGCCGUAAGAGCACAAGCUCAAUCCGAGAUGCUUGAUGCAAUGAAGAGAGCAAAAGAUUUGUCAUCUGUAAUUGAGUAAUCAAGCUCCAAGACGAAAUCACAUACGCGAGAGAUUCAAGUACUACAGAAAUCGUGAAGGCACGUAGGUAGGCGGGAAGAUCAGGUAUUGGUUAUUGGGGCUGUGGACAAAAAAAAAUAUACAGAAGUGAUGAGAGAAUUCAAACUUGUGAGACAGGAACCAAGCAUGCUUAAGCUUUGAUAUGGCAUCGAUUUUACAAGAGAAAUUGGGGACAGAGAAGCAAACAGAGGCCUCAAAAUUAAAGAUGUUUUAUACAUGCUUAAGCACUCGUUAACAAGUUCUUAACGACCCAACUCGUUAACAAGUUCUUAACGGAUACCCGAUAACAACUCGAUUCGUUAACAGAUUGACUCGAAACUUGUUAUUUUUGUAUCAUUUCGUACAUGAUUAACGGGUCGUAAGAAAUUACCAAGCCUACAAUAUACUGUGGCUGAAGGGAUACCAAAUUUUUUAACUCAACAACAAUCAAAGAGAGUAUACUAUUAUAUUAUUACAACCAUUCCUAAUAACAGAAUGUAGUAGUCAAUAAUACAGGAAUGAAUAGCUGAAACAGCUGUGUAAAUCAAAUUUAACAGCUAAACACCCAUAGUAUUGAAUGGUACGUAAAAUUGAAGUCACACCCUAUAAUAAGUUUAAACUAAAAAAUGUAGGAAAAAGUUUUGGUUCUAUAAUUUAAACACAGUGCCAUCAAAUUACCUAUAUAUUGUUCAUAACUCGUACAAUUUUAACUGCUCGUAAGAAGAAAGAGAGAAAAGGAAGAAACAACAAAUUGGAUUUUGGACGGGACUCGAACCAAAUCCGCCGUCCAUCCGAUCAUGUAAUGAAACUGUCACAAAAAAUGCAGCGAAGUAUUGCUCUUCCUUUCUUGAAAACCCUUUUCUCAACGAGUGCACCAAAAAAUGAAUAAAUUUUUUGUAUUAACUGGAUGAUCCUCACCUGAGAUAACGAGACACAAAGUAAAACUCUUGCCACCCCUUACAGAGACAAAUCAAAUUUUAUUGGUUCUGAGUUUCCUCUGGUCCCUUUGCUUUGCCUCUGAGCAUGUCAGUGAAAUUCCCCCGCAUUAUUCGCCUUAAUCUAGUGUCUUCUGCAGGUGGUGAAGGUGCGGCCUUUGGGGACUCAACGGGCUCUGGUGGUGGCUCGGGACUUUCUUUCUUUCCCAGUAGACCACCUUCACCAAAGAAACUACUCACGGAGGAUGCAAGCCCAGCCCCCAUCACCUUACUGAUGGUAUCAAAAGUUCCACCAGAUCUCUCCUUCAUUAUAAUUUCAAGGGCUUCUUUGUGUGCAGGGUCAAGCGCAUCAGAGUCUCUAAAUAAGUUCUGUAUCGCAGGCAUAAGAAAGUCCCGAACACUAGUUGCUGAAAUAUCUGGAUUAAUUACGUAUAUUUGAAAUCAAUAUCAGCAACACAUUACAAAAGCUGAAAAUUCUGGAACAUAGGGUUACGAAUAUAAACUAUAACUGUAGGUCAUUGUUUUAACAUCAUAGUAGGUCAUCAAAACUCCGCACACAUAUUACCAAUCAGUUAAGAAUCCUAUGAAGCUACAGUUUGGCAUGGCACGAUUUGUUAGGGCGCCACCAAAAACUAGUUUCGACACAUGAUUGUAAAGUUCCAACUAUGUAAAUAAGGUCAUUAAAGUGAAAACUGAUAUGAUCUAGGGAUAUUGACUCAAGCAUCUUGUUUUUACAUAAACAUAUGGUUUCAAGCAUGGCUGCUCAAAAACUUAGAAGAACUGGUGAUCUGUGUAUUAUAUUGACAUUAUAGUCGUUUAAUAUUUGAUGUUUGUUUGCAUGCUAAAGAAACAUAACCUCGUUUAGAGUAAAAUUAGGGUUAAAAAAUGCAUACGAUUCUCUUUGAUAAAAUGCAUAACGUAUUUAAGUCUGAAAAUAAUCUAGGUAAUCAGACCAAAUUUCUUUUACAUGUUCCCAAGAAGUGUACAAGUGUCAUGUUCUAUAUAUACGAAGGAAAGUGAAAGAUAAUGUAGCUCAAGGUGUGUAAUGGUGCAGAAAGGGAAGAGAAAUUAAUAAACUAACAAUAUAUAGAACAUCUGGGUCAUAAGAAAAAGAAAACCUGUUGCAUCCAGAGCACGGAUUGCUUCGCAAAAUGCAUUGGCUCUCUCACGCCGGCGCAUCAAGUCACUUGAAGGUGGAGUGGCCGUCAGUUGAAAAAUCUUGGACAAAAGAUGUACAUGAUGUCAAAGAAACAAAGUAACCCAAUGAUUAUUCAAAAAUGAAUCCAAUAGAAAAUUUCCCAACCAACUAAAUAAGGUGUGUGUGCUUAUGAACACGUUGCUGAAAAUGUGCUACUAGUAAUUUUGAGUAAGCAUGUAGAGGAUAUAAUCUUUAAGUCUAUCCGUUGUAUGUGGUACAGCAACCACCAAUGCACGAACCACAGCAAUGGCAGCUUCAUGAGAUCCAUCUUCAAGAAAAGCAUCCAUUUGAACACGUAUCUUAUCAACAAUCUGGGAGUUUUAUUUUGGUCAGCCAGAUGUAUGAAAACCGUUCAAUUAAGUAAGCUAAUAUCUUAAUUGCAGAAGGAAGAGAACUCAUACCAUGUCAUUUCUAAAAUGUUGGGCCACUGCUCCAAAGGCAUCUAUGCUUGCAUACUUCACACUCAAGUUUUGGUCAGAACCCAGAGUAACUAGGGCAGGUAAUAUAUGAGUAGAUGCAACUUUCGCAUCGAUAUAUGGAACCUAUAAACGAAGGAAACCAAUUAAUUAUUUCUUAAUCAGACACAUAAAGAAAUUAGUACUCCAAGAAUGGAUAGACUUACAAUGACUUUCAACAGAUUGGCAGCAUUUAUUUUCAUAUCUAUGUUGGAGCUGACAACCAUUUCCCAGAGUAAAUUAAAUAUCAUACCGUGAUGAUCUUCAGAUGUGCUGCAUUAUGGAAAGCCCUUCAGUCAAAAUUAAGUUACAAAAAGUUAGUCAUAAAAGGUAUUUAUUGCUUUACUAACCAAAGGAACCGAACAGCAUCAACAAUCUCAGCAUUGCACUUCGUAGAUUGAUUUGGAACACCUUCAACUAAUAACUUUCUCAGGUACUCCACUAAUUGUUCAUGUUUGCUUGGACCACCCAAAACACCAGCCAAGAGAAGAGGUAGGACACACAUAGUAGCCAAUCUCUUAGCCACAGCCGUUCUUGGCCUCAAACCUGUUAUGUAGAUAAUAUCCACAAUUAAGAGAACACACAACACUGGUGUGAAAGGAUUUCAAGUAAUUUUAAAGUUAUUACCUUUGAUUCCAGAAUGCGUUGCAGAUGGGAAAAAUGUCAAUUCAACUUCUUCCCCAACAGCUAACAAGAAUACAGGCAGCAUUAUGUGUGUCAAAUAAGAAUCCCCGUAGAGUUCUGAUACAGCCAAUAGAAACUGCAUUACCAACAUUUAGAUCAGAAACAAUUAAUAAAGUAUUGUUGAUGAUGUAAUAUAAAAAAGACACCAAAGACAGAGAAAGAUACCUUGGUGAUUUGGUUUCGCAAAUUGUCCUCUUUUGGAGGUAACAAGCAUGCGAGCUGUAUUAAAGCAGGAAAGCAGUCGACAUGUAGCCACUCAAAUGCAGGCAAUUGAACAUGUCCACUACCGGGUUAACAAAAUUCUCAUUAGCAGUUAUAGUAAAUCAAUUUAACAAUAUCACUACCAAAAGACACAAGUCAAACGGCUAUGUUCUGUCAGAAAAUAGUAGACAGGCCUGAAAAAAGAAUAUAUAACAAAGUAAAAUAAAAUAAAAAGGAAAAAAGAGAAAAGAGCUUACCCUGCAUACAAUUCAAGGAAAGAUUUGGAAAAUAUUGAUCCAGUUGUUUCGGGAUCAGAAGAAACUGGGCACUUCUCAAUUGCUUUCUGGUGCACAUACGGAAGAAUUUCCUCCAGCAUUCGUAGUAAAACAUCAACAUUCCAGCGUUCUCGUUCACCUAAAACACGAAAAUGUGACUCCACAGAACCUUCAAUGCCCGAAAGAGGAGGACAGCGCUGCAAUGUCACAAGGAUGCAAAUUAAAGAAAGUAUCAUUAGAAAGACCUUAGUCAUAAGUGGAAAAUAUAAUCAAACAGAAACAGACCUGAACAGAGCUUGAUAUAUGAGAGAGUAGAACUCUUAAGAUAUGGUCUAAUUUGUUUCCCCACUUGUUUACUGCAGGGACUAAUUGCUUAAGCGUCGUUUCCACCACCACUCCAGAGGGAUCACAGACCAAUUGGAACAUCAACUCCUCGACCUAUAAAUAAAAAUACAGUAAAAUAUUGGAGAAACAGAUCCUUGACCACUUUAUCCAUUUAUUUCUUGUCAGUCAUCAUAUUAUGAGGAGAAAAUUCUCCAUGCCCUAGACCAUGUGGCAUCAACCUGUUCUAGAGCUUACAUUGUAGCCAUUUCUGUCAAGUCAGAAUUCCUCUCCAUGAGAGCCUCUGAAGCAUAUUAGUGAGGCUGACCUUGAAAUAUUUGUCCAUGGUCGGGAAGAGUGGAAGCAGCAAUGCAAGAUUAUGUGCAGCAGCCUCCCGGACAACAGUUGCAGAAUCUUCUAUAAGUUGUUGAACAAUGGACAAUAUAAGAGAAUCACGAAUCUCAGGCCGGACAAACUCUGCAAGCUCUCCACAUGAUUGAGCAACUAGCAGCCUGCGUUCCUCAUACAUAUGAUUUAUCUGCAACCAACAAACCGGAGAAACAUAAGAAAAACUAAUCAGAAAUACGAAAAGGUUAGACAAGAUCCUCUCAAGGUGUGGCUCAAACUUACUUGUUCCCAACACUGGGGAAGCAAUUCUGUUUCUGUUCUCAUCUCUCCUACAUUCUUAGCAAGGUUAACACAUGCCUGAAAUGCAGUUAAAGAUUCAGAAACAAGUCCAAAACAAUGCAGCUAUAUUACAAAUAAUGUGGUACUUCGAAUAUUAGCCUACAUCCAUUAUAAUUCUUCUCUGCUGCUCAUCUGGGCGUUUGAUUAGGUUAAACAAUGUGUGGGUUAAGGAAUCCCGAGUGCUGCUAUCUGGAUGGCGUUCAAUCGCACACAUGAUUAGGGGAAGAAGCUCCUGUGAAUGCAUAACCAAUAAAAAAAUUAAAAAUAUAUCGUUCUAUUAAAGGAUCAAUUUAAAGAUCCAUUCAUACAAUGAUAAUAACAAUAAUAAUAUAUUUAUACACAUAUAUAUAUACAUGUACAUAUGAAAAGGUAAGCAAACCUCCCGAUGGUUGAUCAAAACAUAAGGAACAAUCUUCGGCAAAGCAUCAGCAAGGAUCUGAAUGGUCUCUAGGCCCUGUAAAAUAUAAGCAUAACUUAAGAAAAGGAAUAGAAGGGAAGGGCAGUUCCAAAGCUUCUAAAAAAUCAUUCUAUGUUCUAUUAUUCAAAAUUUAGAUGGGUGUCCCAUCCAAAACGAAAAGAAAAAGGGAUGUGCCAGGGUAGAUAUCAAAAGAAGAGCCAACCCUGGAAGAAGAAAAACAUGUCUGAUCCGGUCUCCUAUAAAGGCAUUGAUGCAAUAAAAGAAAUGUAAAAGAAACUUGCCCUUUUCUCGGAAACAUUUUCAGGACUAAGAUUCUCUGACAUUAGAUGUAGGCUGCUGCCUAAUGAUGGUUCAUCAUUUUGUUUGGAGACGCUAUCACCAUUCACCAAGGUACUACUAUCACUCAAAACACCGACAGAGACCUCAUGUGAAACUUCCUUCAGUUCAACUGUGUUAUCAUGAAAACUUUGAGCAGCCAGAGACUGAUCUUCUUCCUUUUCCACAACUUUCGAUUCUACAUCAACUGGUGGGAUUACACUUUUAUCUUCAUCGACGACAACGACCUUUUCUUCCAUUUGCACAGACUCUUUUUCAAAAUUGGUGGUCUCUGAAAAAUCAUGAGCUUUUGUGUUUUUGGAUUUUAAACUUUCUAGUUCCAUCUGCAAUGAUUUAAUUUCUUCCUUGUAUCUUUCCAAGGAAAGAGGUUGGAUUUGAUCAGCAUCAGCAGCUCCCAUAUUCGUUCCAGAACGAUAUGCUUCAAUGUGCAUUUUCAAUGCAGUGACUUCAGCUCUACAAUCAUUGAGCUCCUUUCUCUGGUGUUCCAAGGACUGCUUCAAAUCUUGUACCUGAAAUAAAGGGUGUAUUAUUUUCUUACAUAUGAUUUUUCAUUAGAUAACAUCUCAAUGCAGUGUACUAAAGGGACUUACAAGGUUUUCUUUGUCUUUAAGGUCCUUCUGAAGAGCUUCCAAUGAUUUGCUUAGUGUACUUAUUUGGCCUUCAGCCAAAUCUUUGUUUUUAAGUAAGGAUAGCUUUUCAAGGUAUAGACUCUCCUUUUCUUUCAAUAACAACUCAAUUUCUCGGAGCAUGGAAAUUUUUUCCUGUAUAUAGCAAAGUAUUUAUGUUGAGUUUAGAAAAAGAAAAAAAAAAAUCCUACAUUGGAGUAGAACCUGCAAAGUUUCAGUAAUUAAUUAUUAACUUCAAGUCUUAAGCCAACAAGACAGUACUCAUCCAUAACAUGUGUUGUUGCAAAAAAAGCAGAAAAUAAGGAAAAGCACGGUACAUAUUGAGAAAUAAUUUAAGAGCAAAACUUAAGGAAAAUUUCGUGACCCACAGAUCUACAGAUUGAUAUGCUUCAUAGCCAUCGUUUUAGAGGAAAAAAAAUAGCAAACAUAAAUAACGAAUGUUUUCAGCACAUCAGAAAGUAAAAGAGAUGAGUUUAGUUGUGGUCGUGGUGUUACCUCAGACUUCCAAAGUGCUAGACAUGGAUUACUAGAUAGAAUUACCAAUAGCCAGAAACUAAUGGUCGUACCCAGUGCACAAGGCUCCCGCUUUACGCAGGGUCUGGGAGAGGUGAAAAACAUACAACAAAUAUGCUAAAGGACACAGGCCACAUCCACAAAAGCAGAAGCAAGUGAAAAGCUUCGAAGCCCUUGUCUAACAAGGUCGGGGAAGCACGGUAAAAGUCUGUAUAUAGAACUUCAGAAACUUGCCAACAUCACAUAUCCUAGGAAUUACCUCAGCAGCCUCAGUAGUGGAUGAAAGAUACUGAUAAUAAUAAUGGCGCAAUGCAUCUGGUACACAUGCAGGUGAGUUCUUCCAAACAUCUAGAUUUUGAUCUGUGACCUGGGGAGAAUGCACUGACAGGUUAUUAGAAUAUUUGAAGAUUACUUGAACUGGGUAUGAUAUUAUACCAUGAUUUGCCACACAAACAAAGUGACAAUAGCACCGCAUUCACCUGAUGCAAAGUUUUAGAAACCUAGUGGGCCUUCCAAGGGAUUAACCUAGUACAAUAGCUCCUAAAAAGUUGUUCAGUGCUACUUAUUACCGCAACAAACAGAUCAGAAUCAAUCCCAAUCUUGUAAACAUCUUUUUUUUUCCUUUAUUUUAAAUAUUUGUGUUCCUCAAACCAUUUUCUUUCUUUUGUUGAUAAAACAAAGUAAGCCUGUUGUUGUUACAUUGUUAGAAAGCUUCCAUUACUUAAAUAACAAGUAAAUCAAACUAACAUUAAACAACUCAUCGGCAUGGAAGUUUGAACCAUGACCACAACGGGGUUCUUCUCCCACUAGACCAGUUUUAAGCUUGAUCAACAUAAAAACAAAAAACAAAAUAACUUGUUUUUUUUUUUAUGAGGGUUGCAUCAUCCUUUUGGUGGCCCUCUUGCUAUUGUAAUAAAUUUGUUGAAUUGUAAUAAAUUUUUGUGACCGCCGUAUGCCACUGAAGCUCAAGGGAAAAUUUUAUAGGACGGCAAUAAGGCCGGCGAUGCUAUAUGGCACAGAAUGUUGGGCGGUGAAGCAUCAACACGUACACAAAAUGGGUGUAGCGGAGAUGAGGAUGCUUCGUUGGAUGUGUGGGCACACGAGAAAGGAUAAGAUUAGGAAUGAGGAUAUCCGGGGUAAAGUAGGAGUAGCCGAAAUUGAAGGAAAGAUGAGAGAAAAUCGGUUACGAUGGUUUGGACAUGUGCAAAGAAGGCCUACUGACGCUCCGAUUAGAAGAUGCGACUAUGGGACAGAGGUUCAGGGCCGAAGGGGUAGAGGAAGACCUAGGAAAACUUUGGAAGAGACCCUAAGAAAAGACUUAGAGUACUUGGAUCUAACGGAGGACAUGACACAGGACAGAACACAAUGGCGUUCUAAGAUUCAUAUAGCCAAUCCCACUCAGUGACUUGGAUUUUCCAAGUCUCCAACCGAGAAGUUUUCCUCACUCGGGAAAUUAAGGGAACACUACCUCAACCUACAUGCUCCACUCACAAAGCUUCAACAUACAAGCUUCAACAAAAGAAAAUUCAAAGAACUUAGCGAAGAAGGCUUUGGUGUAUUUAACACAAUACGUUGAAAUGAAGGAAAACUUAUUUAUUGAUAGCCCUGAUAAGUUACAAAUAUGUACAUAUACAUGAAUCAAAAUAAACAAACAAGAGGGAGCCUUCACACAGGUUGUUUAGGAGAAGUCUCAGCAGUCGGUAGAGCCCCAGAAAGAGAAGGCACCGGAGGGGGAUCAUUCGAGCCUCAGUACUGGACAGAACCCUAGAAGGAGGAGGCAUCAGAGGUUGAUCAUUUGGAGCUUCAUUACGCGGUACAACCCCAGAAGACGAAAGCAAUAAAUGCCUUUGGAACAAACCCACAAAUCUCUGAUGAUCAAGUAAAACCUGACCAUCAGAUUCCUUCAUCUGGUCAAGCUUCCUCUUCAUGUUUGUAGCAUAGUCAUGUGCGAGCCGGUGCAACUGUUUAUUCUCAUGCUUGAGCCCUCUAAUCUCCUGUUUGAGACUCAUCACUUCAGCCGCCAAUGAUUCAACUUGGCGGGUUCGAGCAAAUAGGCGUUGGGCCAUAUUAGACACAGAACCUGCACACUGAACACUGAGAGCCAGAGAAUCCUUAACAGCCAACUCAUCAGACCGUUUGGAAAGUAGUCUGUUAUCUUUGGGAGUGAGAAGGUUCCUGGCCACUACCGCAGCGGUCAUAUCAUUCUUCAUCACGGAAUCCCCAACGGUAAGAGGACCAGUAGGGGAGACGAAGGAUGGGCGCCAUAUGUUGUCUGGAGAAGGCGGGGCUGCCUCUUCAACAAGGUUCAAGUCAAAACGACGGUCGGAGGGGGCCAAACAUUUUCAAAGGUGUUGAAGAGAGAAGAGGUCGGACAAAUCAAGAUCUUAGAAGUGCAAGAAUGGAGCUUCUACUGGUGGAGAUUCAAGUGUGCUUUGGAACUUAAUGCCAGCCCCUAUAAAAAUCUGCACUCGACGAAGCUUCAGAAAUCGAAGAGGCGUUUGCUUUCUCAAAAGCUGGGCUGCUCAGAGACCACGAGGGUCGAUCUCAGAAAUCGAAGAGGCGUUUGCUUUCUCAAAAGCUGGGCUGCUCAAAGACCACAAAGGCCGAUCUCAGAAAUCGAAGAGGCUUGCUUUCUCAAAAGCUGGGCUGCUCAGAGACUACGAGGGCUGAUCUCAGAAAUCGAAGAGGCACAUACUUUUCCAGCCUUGUCAGCACCUGUCACACGCACACUCAGCUUUGCGGAAAUUAUGGGCAUUCUGUCGAAGAUUUCUGGUGAAGUAGAAAGCACAUGAAUCGUACUGUUCAAUCACCCACUUCCCACACGCAACAGUAGCUCAUGGGUACCACAGAUAACUUUGCCAAAGUUAUCUGACAAAGUUGAGACACGUGAAGCUUGCAGCUCCCACUACAUCGCUCUGACCGAGAAGGGUAAAAGAAUAGCAAAGAAACAACACUAACAAAGUUUAGACACAUAAAUUUUGAAGGUCUAGCUACCAUAUUAUUACCCACAAGGGUAAAGGAACAGUACCACUGCUGGAUAAUUGGAAGGUCCCGGUGUGUCAACCUCUGUACUUCGUGGCACGGUAGACUAGCAAACAUGUCCAACCUUUACUCACAUUCGAGAAAACACUCCCAACAAGAUUGCUUGCUCCAAAAUCGAAGAGGCACCGCCUUCCGAAUCUCGAGAGCCAGACUCCCAACAUGAUUACUUUCUCAAAAAUCGAAGAGAGGGUAAAGGAACAGUACCACUGCUGGAUAAUUGGAAAGUCCCUGUGUGUCAACCUCUGUGCUUCGUGGCAAGGUAGAAUAGCAAACAUGCCCAACCUUUACUCACAUUCGAGAAAACACUCCUAACAAGAUUGCUUGCUCCAAAAUCGAAGAGGCACCGCCCUCCGAAUCUCGAGAGCCAGACUCCCAACAUGAUUACUUUCUCAAAAAUCGAAGAGAGGGUAAAGGAACAGUACCACUGCUGGAUAAUUGGAAAGUCCCUGCGUGUCAACCUCUGUGCUUCGUGGCAAUGUAGACUAGCAAACAUGCCCAACCUUUACUCACAUUCGAGAAAACACUCCCAACAAGAUUGCUUGCUCCAAAAUCGAAGAGGCACCGCCCUCCGAAUCUCGAGAGCCAGACUCCCAACAUGAUUACUUUCUCAAAAAUCGAAGAGACACCGCUCUCCGAAUCUCGAGAGCCAGACCCCCAGCAGGAUUGCUUUCUCAAAAAUCGAAGAGGCAUCGUUCUCCGAAUCUCGAGAACCAGAUCCCCGACAGGAUUGCUUGUUCGAAAACCGAAGAGGCACCACUUUCCCAACUUCAAGAGCUGGAUCUCCUUGGAUAAAGCUUGUCUGUAAUCUUCACACGCAACAUCAACUUUCCAGAUACCACAGACCACUUUUUCAAAGUGCUCUGACAUAGUUAAAACAUGUGAAGCUGGCAGCUCCCACUACCGUGCUAUGACCAAGCAGGGUAAAAGAAUAGCAUUAUUACUUGAUGUUAGGGAGACUCCUAUAUAUGUCGACCUCCAUCCCCAACGGACAGGCAGACCUGCAAAAAUGCUCAACCCUUCCUCUUAUCUGAGAGGGCAUUCCCAACGAAGCCUUUCGAAAUAUUCAGCUUUCUUUCCCCCCGAUAAUACCUCUGCAAACAAGCUAUAUUAGAGUAAGAAUAUCUCAUAUCAUCAGGGUUAAAAGCAAGAGUAUCCCAUAUCAUGCUUUUUCCCUGUCUUUUCCUUUGGUCUUGUUCUUACCUGCAAGACAAGGAGAAAGAGAGCAAUCAGUCAGCACUUGGAAUCAAGCUUCCAGCCAGGAACUGACUGCCUGGAACCCCUUACCUGAGUACUUACCUGGCAUUGCUCUCGAGUACUCAUCUUCAACAUCUUAUGCUUCCAGGGAAGAUACCGCAUCUGCCUGAGGAACAGAUAGGGCAAGUGAGAAGGAUACAAAGAAGCAUGUGGAGACAAGCGUAACAGCACACGUGCCGAUACAUCCACUACUCUGUCAAAAGCAAAAGUAUCCCAUAUCAGCAGGGUCGAACGUACUCUAGAUUUGAUGGAUUUGUUUUGACCCUCAAAUUCUUUAGUCGGCCUUAUACUCUGGAGGAAACCAGAAAACCCUCCAGCCCAGUUCAAGAAUAAGCCUGUGGAAAGUUACUUCUUCAAAAGCAAAAGUAUCCCAUAUCAUCUCUUCUCAUUUUUCUUCUCUUUAUCCUUCAUGCUGCCUGCAAGAUAGGGAGAAUGUGAACAAUCAGCCGGAGCUCUGAUUGCUGUCACCUCUUUCAGCAGAUCCCCUAGCUCGGCGACUUGGGGGACUCCUACUACAUGGUUUGUAUCGCGCUUGACCAAGCCUGAAACUACAAGUAAGCUUCAAGUGAAAUUGAUACAUUACCUUGUGCAUCUCCACCAGUUAAAGAUACCACCCCUGGAUGGAGGAAGAGUACUUCCAGAGAAGAUGCCACAUCUACCUAUGAGACAGAUAAGGCAAGUCAAGACGAUACCACACCCCGGUACUUAGAAGUUUCGUGAUUACGAGAUCAUUCUCCCACAAUAUUUCCUAAUGUCAUUUGUACUAAAUCAUUCACUUGUACUCACUAAAGGAGAGCUUGAACCUAUGUACUUGUGUAAACCCUUCACAAUUAAUGAGAACUCCUCUAUUCCGUGGACAUAGCCAAUCUGGGUGAACCACGUACAUCUUGUGUUUGCUUUUCUAUCUCUAUCCAUUUAUAUACUUAUCCACACUAAUGACCGGAGCAAUCUAGCGAAGAUCACAAAAAGCGACCGUUUUCGCUACCUAGGAUCUAUCUUGCAAGAGAACGGAGAAUUAGAUGGAGAUCUCAACCAUAGAAUACAAGCUGGAUGGAUGAAGUGUAAGAGUGCAUCCGGCGUGUUGUGUGACCGUCGUAGGCCACUGAAGCUCAAGGGAAAAUUUUAUAGGACUGCAAUAAGGCCAGCGAUGUUGUAUGGCACAGAAUGUUGGGCGGUGAAGCAUCAACACGUACACAAAAUGGGUGUAGCGGAGAUGAGGAUGCUUCGUGGGAUGUGUGGGCACACGAGAAAGGAUAAGAUUGGGAAUGAGGAUAUCCGAGGUAAAGUAGGAGUAGUCGAAAUUGAAGGAAAUAUGAGAGAAAAUCGGUUCCGGUGGUUUGGACAUGUGCAAAGAAGGCCUAUUGACGCUCCGGUUCGAAAAUGUGACUACGGGACAGAGGUUCAGGGCCGAAGGCGUAGAGGAAGACCUAGGAAAACUUUGGAAGAGACCCUAAGAAAAGACUUGAGUACUUGGAUCUAACGGAGGACAUGACACAAAACCGAGCGCAAUGGCGUUCUAGGAUUCAUAUAGCCGACCCCACUUAGUGGGAAAAGGCUAUGUUGUUGUUGUUGUUGUUGUUAUAGAAUUAAAAUUAAAAGCCAUCUCCAAAACUCUCAACACUCCCAUAUCAAUUUACAGUGGAGAAAUUGCCACAUAUGUUUGAAGCAAAACUUCUAAUGUUUGGAUGGAGAAGUUCCCCUAAAGAAUUGCUAGAAAUAUAAUAUACUCACUUUUGAUAUAAAAUUUUAAACUUUCCAACAUCACUUGCCUACAAACUGGAUGAAUUCACAUUUCAGUGCAUCACAGCCUCCCUAAAGAUGGGCCGUAAAUCGUAAAAUAAAAUAACCUCUAGAAAGUAGUAUCAAUAACCCAACAAACCACAAACCCAACCAAACACCUAGCAAAUAGAAAUUCUAACUAACAUAGAAUUCUAAUUACAACAUAAUUUUACACUGCAUAUGCAUAAAAACUGGUACAUUUUGUUAAGAUGUGUUGUGUAGUUACCCUAGCUCCUGUUUACAAUCCCGUACCAUUAAUCUACUAUAGUCUAUUGGAGGUUGAAUCCAAUAAACAAUAUGUGAGCCACAGAAAAGAAAGGACUCGUCCUUUCACAUAUAAAAAUACCGGGGAGAAACAAGGAGAGAGAUAACAAGAAAUAAGAGAAGAUAGAUGCAAGAAGAGAAAAAGACAAGCAUUCAUGGUCAUCCAUACCUCCUCAAAAAAUGUCAUUGCAGUAAGCCGGUACCCUGCUAUAAGCAAAUAUUCUUUUACAGCACAGUUAAGAUCUCUGCGCUCAUUAUCUUUCAAUGGACCCAAAUCAGAAAAGGAAACAUCUCUCUUUUGCCGCUGAAAUUCUGGUCCAUUAUGUAAGGAAACAUUGGCAUUUGAAUCUGAAUACAAAUAUGAGUAGAAAGUCAUGGAACAGAAACGUUUGUGGUUUAUUAGUAUUGGAGAAUAUUGCACAUAUAGUGAAUCUCGCAUUUUCCACUGUAUACAGGUGCAAUACUGAUUCCCGAAAAUAUAAAUGCAAUGAACAGUAACAAGAAGAGGAAAACGUGGUGUGUGUCUCCACCAUUGACAUUCAUUUGUUAGAAGGUUUUCUAGAAAACAAUUCCAGUACAUCUAGGAACAGGCAUGGAUGUCCAUAUCCAGUAUAACAAACCCACAAAGCUUGCCUCGUUAUUUUACCUAAUAACCUCACUAUAGACAUGCCUAUGGCAUUAUGGUCGCACUUUAUGACAAGAUACGUCCAGAGAUUUAAUAACCAAACUCUGUAAUAAUGCAAAGUUACUUAAUGCAAAGUUCUGCAGCAAACAAUAUCACAGUGACUACCGUUCGAAAAGAUAUAUCAGACUAGAAGCUAAAACAAGCAUAAGAAUAGAAUUUGAAAUUCUGGAAAGAAGGUAAACUUACCUCUCAAGUCAUUUGAAGGUGAUUCUGCUUUCUUCUGCAAUUCGGCCUUCAGUUUUGAAAUGUCCUCUUGGGCUAAGCGAAGCUCAUAUUCACUAAUUGCUAAUUUUUCUUCUACUGCUUCUUUCUCCUCUAGCAAACAUUGAGGGUCUGCAACUGCAUUCCAAAAAUGAAAGCAGUAGAAAAAUAAAGCAUUAGUAAUGUUCCAAAAGAAAAUAUUAGUAUCAAGAUUAAUGAGGUACAAGAAGUUUUCCUUUUCAAGCUCCAAUUAUCAGUUCAUCAAGCAGAGACAUAAACCAUUUGUAAAUCAGUUCUGUCACUUUACUGAGAAAAGUUCAAUUAAAGUUAUUUUUUGUUAGCUCGGCUUCUGUUCAGUUGGCUUGUUAGGCUUUCUUGGCCACACCACACCCCAACACACACUCAGUCAAUCACCACCAGCAGAAAUGCCCUUUGCAGUUGCGCUUACAGGCUGCAACAUACAAUACUAAUUUUUUUUCCCUUUUCAUUAAAAAUUAAACCUUUAUGGGUUGGGCUGGUAAUGGUAGCCUCAUUAAAUAAAAAAAAUAAAUUAAAAAAAAAAAAAAAAAAAAAAAAAGCAUACGAGGAUGUUCUUAGUUGAGUUUUUUGAACUGACCAUCAAGCUCGUUGCACUAAUUUUGACAAACUUAAUUUCUGAAAAUUUAAGGUUUUAAUGAAUAACAGCAAAAAUGUACCAGAAAAAAGGGAACCAAAGAAGCAAACACAGUUCCUCUUAACAGAAAACACAACUAAAGAAUGAGAAAGCCAGAACAAAGCCAUCAAGGAAGUGAUCUCACCCUGGCAGCCGAAAGCACAGGCACAGAUAUGCAGCCACCACGUACUCACACUUUCAGUUGCAUUCUCUAAAUAUGUUAAGUAACUCCUCCGCAGAAAGUAACAGUUUCAUAAAAUAGAUAUGUUCUAAACUAAUUGCUUUUCUCAGUUCAGGCUAAUUCCUAGAAUAAACCGGUGUUUUCGUCCAACCAACUGAAGUCCCACCUAUCGCCAUUCCUUUACACAAUGCUUCUACAUGAUGGUUGAGGUAGCCCAUUUGGGCACAUAACAAAAAGAAUUUCAAACACUUUUGAGUUCUGCAACUAGUUUCAAGUCUAACUUGUUCCUCAAACAAACAAAAUGUAAUUCAACUUUCGCUAUAAUUGCCAGCGGCAACGAGGUUCCAAAUGCGAAAAAAUUCAGUUAGCAUUAACAAGAAGCCGCUAAGGAGAUAAACGAUCUUUCAAAACUAGGCAAAGUAAACGAUCACAAGCGCGCCAAUUCGUGGCAUUAACAAUGCCAAAGAAAACAGAGUAGAAAACCAGAAUUCCGAAUCUAUUAGCUCACCACAUUCCCCACACUUUCUCAGCAACCAAACAGAAAACAAGAGAAUUUCAAAUUAACCGAAUUCAAACAGAUUCAGAAGUGCGCGUGCGAGUGUGAAUUGAUCGUACGAACCUCGGAGAGAGUUGAAACGAGAAAUCUGAUCGGGAGGGAAUUUAGAGGAGUCGGCGAAGAAGUCCUUGAGUCGAAUGGCCUGGUCGUCUCUGCCAUCGUCGAGCAGCUCGUGGAGCAGCUCGAACGCCGUGAGCAGGUAGUUCUCCUCGAGCAGAAAAUUCACGACGCAAUUGCACAACGACGACCUCUCCACGUCCAUCGGAGCUCACUAUCUCCUCCGCAACCUUAGCGCGACGCCAUUGAAGAACCAGAUAACCAAAGCAGAUCUCUCUCUCUGUCUUUCUCUCUGCCUAUUUUCUUCAGGAGUACGUCCGGAUCGAGUCGUUGAGUUGGGAGAGAGGAGGCAAGGACCGACCGAGGGAAAGUGGGAUAUUCGGUGCGACGCGUCUUUCUUUUGAUCCGUGCUUCUUUGUAUUUUCGACCGUCGAUCCUAUGAUUGUUGUUGAUAGAUCUGCCUGCAUUUUUCAUUAGCACGUUCACCACGUGUGAUUUUGCAUGGAAAACCGGUGCACCGCCAAGAAGGUCAACUGUUGACUCUCAAAUUAGAGAAAUUUUGCAGUGUACAUAUCAUUAUAUAAAUGAAAAGAAGUUUUAUUUUUCAAAUGUCCAACAAUUAACAUAUGAUGUAGUAUCCUUUAUUUGAGCCCAUUGAAAAAUAUCUUCACGAAUUAGAGAAAUGCCAAAGAAACUCUAAAAAUGAAACUCUCGAUAAAUUAUCUGCUACUUCAAAUUUUUUUUUACAUAUGAUUUUAUAAUUUUACACUUAAAUUAAUAUUAAACUGUGAGAUUUAAUGGGCUCAUCCUAGAGCUUCUAUAUUCAUUUUUUUUUUUUUUUGCCUCUAUGUUCAUUUUUUUGUGAUUAUCUAUUUGGGUCUAGAACUCCGCCUAUGUCUUACAUGGCCGGUCCCAAGCCCGGAUAAAGGAGGAGGGGGAGGGCGUCAGGUAGUCGACAGCCGGCACUCCAUGAUCACGUCGAAUCCUUAUGAAAAUGAAUCCAGAACAAAAUCGCGCUAAAGCUAGGGCGUCACCCGUAAGUGGCGCGCUGUGUGGCCCGAGCACAGUGAUAAGUGAGCAAGGGUCGCUGUAUCUCUAUCGGCACCCGGAUGCAGUGUUAAAUGAGCAAGGGGGCCAUAGAAACUUCUUUUCGAACGACUCCACUCAAAGUUGUUUGGGAGCAUAUGCUCCUAUCAACUUUACCCGAGACACACAAAAGAAGUACUUUGAUCCUAUUAGACGGGGGAGGGUGAAGAAGCUAGGACAGAAGGUAGAGUUCAAGAGAGCAAAAUGCGUUUAGGAACGUGGAAUAUAGGAACCUUAACGGGAAAAUCUAUGGAAGUAGUGGAAGUUAUGGUGAGGAGAAGGAUAAAUAUUAUGUGCCUACAAGAAACUAAGUGGGUUGGUAGUAAGGCAAAGGAUCUAGAAAACUCAGGGUUUAAACUUUGGUAUUCGGGCACAAAUAGAACGAGAAACGGUGUUGGCAUCAUCGUGGACAAGACCUUGGUACAAGAUGUUGUAGAUGUCAAGAGGGUAGGAGAUAGAAUCAUGGCAAUCAAGAUUGUAAUAGGACAAGAACUUAUCAAUGUGAUUAGUGCGUACGCACCUCAAGUAGGGUUGGAUACGAGUUCGAAGGAGAAAUUUUGGGAAGAUCUUGGAGACUUGGUGCAAGGAAUUGCUCAGACGGAAAAGUUAUUUAUAGGAGGAGAUUUAAAUGGACACGUGGGCAGGGAGACAGGCAACUAUGGAGGUUUUCAUGGUGGCCAUGGUUUUGGGGAGAGAAACGAGGAUGGGGAAGCUAUCUUGGAUUUUGCAAUGGCAUAUGAUCUCUUCUUAGCCAACACCUUCUUUAAGAAGAGAGAAGAACAUGUGAUCACCUACAAGAGUGGGUCGUCAAAAACACAAAUAGAUUUUCUUCUAAUGAGGAAAGGGGAUCGUAUAACUUGUAAGGAUUGCAAAGUUAUAUCAGGAGAGUGCGUGGCCAAUCAACAUCGCUUGUUGGUGAUGGAUGUACAUAUCAAAAGAGUAAGACAAAAGAACAAGUCUUGGAAGUGCCCAAGGACUAGAUGGUGGAAUCUAAAAGAAGAAAAACAAGCCAUUUUCAAAGAUAAGGUAAUCACCCAAUGUGUGUGGGAUAGAGAGGGGGAAGCUAGCCAAAUGUGGGAUUCCAUGGCUAGUUGUAUCCGAAAAGUAGCAAAAGAGGCAUUAGGAGAGUCCAAGGGCUUUGCCCCACACCAAAAGGAAUCUUGGUGGUGGAAUGAAGAGGUACAAACAAAGGUGAAGGCUAAGAAGGAAUGUUGUAAAGCCUUAUACAAGGAGAGGACCGAUGAAAAUGGUGAAAGGUAUAGAAAAGCGAAGCAAGAGGCGAAGAAAGCUGUCAGAGAAGCUAAGUUAGCGGCUUACGACGAUAUGUAUAAACGACUAGAUACCAAAGAAGGAGAGUUGGAUAUCUAUAAACUAUCUAGAGCAAGGGAAAAGAAGACAAGGGACCUAAACCAAGUGAGGUGCAUCAAGGAUGAGGAUGGAAAGGUUCUUGCUACAGAGAACGCGGUUAAAGACAGAUGGAGAGGUUAUUUUCAUAAUCUUUUCAAUGAAAGGACAUGAAAUGAGUGCUUCUUUAGGGGAGUUGAGUAACUUCAGAAGAGUGUAGAAACUACUCUUUUUAUCGUCGAAUCCGGAAGGAAGAAGUGGUUGUAGCUUUGAAGAAGAUGAAGCAUAAAAAAGCAAUAGGCCCAGACGAUAUACCAAUCGAAGUGUGGAAACUUUUGGGAGAGACAGGUAUAACAUGGCUCACUGACCUUUUCAAUAGGAUUUUGAAAACGAAGAAGAUGCCAAAUGAGUGGCGAACGAGCACUUUGGUGCCUAUCUACAAGAAUAAGGGCGACGUACAAAAUUGCAUGAACUAUAAGGGUAUUAAGCUAAUGAGUCAUACAAUGAAGCUCUGGGAGAGAGUCAUUGAGCAUAGAUUGAGGCAAGAGACACGGGUUUUGGACAACCAAUUCGGGUUCAUGCCAGGGCGCUCAACCAUGGAGGCAAUCUAUCUCUUACGAAGAUUGAUGGAAAGAUAUAGAGAUGGGAAAAAGGAUUUACACAUGGUCUUUAUAGAUUUGGAAAAAGCGUAUGAUAGGGUCCCAAGAGACAUUCUUUGGAGGAUUUUAGAGAAGAAAGGAGUACGAGUAGCAUAUAUCCAAGCUAUAAAGGAUAUGUAUGAAGGAGCAAAGACUGCCGUAAGAACUCAUGAAGGACAAACCGAAAGCUUUCCCAUAACUGUAGGAUUACAUCAAGGCUCAUCCUUAAGUCCUUACCUUUUUGCGUUGGUAAUGGAUGAGUUAACAGGACAUAUUCAAGAUGAUAUUCCUUGGUGUAUGCUUUUCGCAGACGAUAUAGUGUUGAUAGAUGAAACUCAGGAAGGGGUAAAUGCAAAGCUUAACCUUUGGAGAGAAGUGUUGGAAUCUAAAGGUCUUCGCCUAAGCCGAUCAAAGACAGAAUAUAUGGAGUGCAAGUUCAGUGCAAAUGGAGGCCAAAACGAGUUAGGGGUGAGGAUCGGAGAUCAAGAAAUACCAAAGAGCGACCGUUUUCGUUACCUAGGAUCUAUCUUGCAAAAGAACGGAGAAUUAGAUGGAGAUCUCAACCAUAGAAUACAAGCUGGAUGGAUGAAGUGGAAGAGUGCAUCCGGCGUGUUAUGUGACCGCCGUAUGCCAUUGAAGCUCAAGGGAAAAUUUUAUAGGACGGCAAUAAGGCCGGCGAUGCUGUAUGGCACAGAAUGUUGGGCGGUGAAACAUCAACACGUACACAAAAUGGGUGUAGCGGAGAUGAGGAUGCUUCGUUGGAUGUGUGGGCACACGAGAAAUGGAUAAGAUUAGGAAUGAGGAUAUCCGGGGUAAAGUAGGAGUAGCCGAAAUUGAAGGAAAGAUGAGAGAAAAUCGGUUACGGUGGUUUGGACAUGUGCAAAGAAGGCCUACUGACGCUCCGAUUAGAAGAUGCGACUAUGGGACAGAGGUUCAGGGCCGAAGGGGUAGAGGAAGACCUAGGAAAACUUUGGAAGAGACUCUAAGAAAAGACUUAGAGUACUUGGAUCUAACGAAGGACAUGACACAUGAUCGAGCACAAUGGCGUUCUAAGAUUCAUAUAGCCGAUCCCACUCAGUGACUUGGAUUUUCCAAGUCUCCAACCGAGAAGUUUUCCUCACUCGGAAAAUUAAGGGAACACUACCCCAACCUACAUGCUCCACUCAGAAAGCUUCAACAUACAAGCUUCAACAAAAGAAAAUUCAAAGAACUUAGCGAAGAAGGCUUUGGUGCAUUUAACACAAUACGUUGAAAUGAAGGAAAGCUUAUUUAUUGAUAUCCCCGAUAAGCUACAAAUAUGUACAUAUACAUGAGUCAAAAUAAACACACAAGAGGGAGCCUUCACAAAGGUUGCUUAGGAUAAGUCUCAGCAGUCGGUAGAGCUCCAGAAAGAGAAGGCACCGGAGGGGGAUCAUUUGGAGCCUCAGUACUGGACAGAACCCUAGAAGGAGGAGACAUCAGAGGUUGAUCAUUUGGAGCUUCAUUACGCGGUACAGCCCCAGAAGACGAAGGCAAUAAAUGCCUUUGGAACAAACCCACAAAUCUCUGAUGAUCAAGUAAAACCUGACCAUCAGUUUCCUUCAUCUGGUCAAGUUUCCUCUUCAUGUUUGUAGCAUAGUCAUGUGCGAGCCGGUGCAACUGUUUAUUCUCAUGCUUGAGCCCUCUAAUCUCCUGUUUGAGACUCAUCACUUCAGCCGCCAAUGAUUCAACUUGGCGGGUUCGAGCAAAUAGGAGUUGGGCCAUAUUAGACACAGAACCUGCACACUGAACACUGAGAGCCAGCGAAUCCUUAACAGCUAACUCAUCAGACCGUUUGGAAAGUAGUCUGUUAUCUUUGGGAGUGAGAAGGUUCCUGGCCACCACCGCAGCGGUCAUAUCAUUCUUCAUCACGGAAUCCCCAACGGUAAGAGGACCAGUGGGGAGACGAAGGAUAGGCGCCAUAUGUUGUCUGGAGAAGGCGGGGCUGCCUCUUCAACAAGGUUCAAGUCAAAACGACGGUCGGAGGGGCCAGACAUUUUCAAAGGUGUUGAAGAGAGAAGAGGUCGGACAAAUCAAGAUCUAAGAAGUGCAAGAAUGAAGCUUCUACUGGUGGAGAUUCAAGUGUGCUUUGGAACUUAAUGUCAGCCCCUAUAAAAAUCUGCACUCGAUGGAGCUUCAGAAAUCGAAGAGGCGCCUGCUCAGAAAUCGAAGAGGCGUUUGCUUUCUCAAAAGUUGGGCUGCUUAGAGAUCACGAGGGUUGAUCUCAGAAAUCGAAGAGGCGUUUGCUUUCUCAAAAGUUGGGCUGCUCAAAAACCACGAAGGCUGAUCUCAGAAAUCGAAAAGGCGCUCGCUUUCUCAAAAGCUGGGCUCCCCAGAGACCACGAGGGCCGAUCUCAGAAUCCGAAGAGGCACCUACUUUUCCAGCCUUGUCAGCACCUGUCACACGCACACUCAGCUUUGCGGAAAUUAUGGGCAUUCUGUCGAAGACUUCUAGGGAAGUAGAAAACACAUGAAUCUUAUUGUUCAAUCACCCACUUCCCACACGCAACAAUAGCUCAUGGGUACCACAGAAAACUUUGCCAAAGUUCUCUGCCAAAGUUGAGCACGUGAAGCUUGCAGCUCCCACUACAUCGCUCUAACCAAGAAGGGUAAAAAAAUAGCAAAAGAAACAGCACUAAGAAAGUUUAGACCCAUAAAUUUUGAAGGUCUAGCUACCAUAUUAUUACCCACAAGGGUAAAGGAACAGUACCACUGCUGGAUAAUUGGAAAGUCCCUGUGUGUCAACCUCUGUGCUUCGUGGCAAGGUAGACUAGCAAACAUGCCCAACCUUUACUCACAUUCGAGAAAAAACUCCCAAUAAGAUUGCUUGCUCCAAAAUCGAAGAGGCACCGUCCUCCGAAUCUCGAGAGCCAGACUCCCAACAUGACUACUUUCUUAAAAAUCGGAGGGUAAAGGAACAGUACCAUUGCUGGAUAAUUGGAAAGUCCCUGUGUGUCAACCUCUGUGCUUCGUGGCAAGGUAGACUAGCAAACAUGCCCAACCUUUACUCACAUUCGAGAAAACACUCCCAACAAGAUUGCUUGCUCCAAAAUCGAAGAGGCACCGCCCUCCGAAUCUCGAGAGCCAGACUCCCAACAUGAUUACUUUCUCAAAAAUCGAAGAGACACUGCUCCCCGAAUCUUCGAGAGCCAGACCCCCAGCAUGAUUGCUUUCUCAAAAAUCGAUGAGGCAUCGUUCUCCGAAUCAAUCGAAGAGGCGCUCGCUUUCUCAAAAGCUGGGCUGCUCAGAGACCACGAGGGCCGAUCUCAGAAAUCGAAGAGGCACCUACUUUUCUAGCCUUGUCAGCACCUGUCACACGCACACUCAGCUUUGCAGAAAUUAUGGGCAUUCUGUCGAAGACUUCUGGUGAAGUAGAAAGCACAUGAGUCUUACUGUUCAAUCACCCACUUCCCACACGCAACAAUAGCUCAUGGGUACCACAGACAACUUUGCCAAAGUUCUCUGCCAAAGUUGAGCACGUGAAGCUUGCAGCUCCCACUACAUCGCUCUGACCAAGGAAGGUAAAAGAAUAGCAAAGAAACAGCACUAACAAAGUUUAGACACAUAAAUUUUGAAGGUCUAGCUACCAUUAUUAUUACCCACAAGGGUAAAGGAACAGUACCACUGCUGGAUAAUUGGAAAGUCCCUGUGUGUCAACCUCUGUGCUUCGUGGCAAGGUAGACUAGCAAACAUGCCCAACCUUUACUCACAUUCGAGAAAACACUCCCAACAAGAUUGCUUGCUCCAAAAUCGAAGAGGCACCGUCCUCCGAAUCUCGAUAGCCAGACUCCCAACAUGACUACUUUCUCAAAAUCGAAGAGAGGGUAAAGGAACAGUACCAUUGCUGGAUAAUUGGAAAGUCCCUGUGUGUCAACCUUUGUGCUUCGUGGCAAGGUAGACUAGCAAACAUGCCCAACCGUUACUCACAUUCGAGACAACACUCCCAACAAGAUCGCUUGCUCCAAAAUCGAAGAGGCACCGCCCUCCGAAUCUCGAGAGCCAGACUCCCAACAUGAUUACUUCCUCAAAAAUCGAAGAGACACUGCUCUCCGAAUCUCGAGAGCCAGACCCCCAACAUGAUUGCUUUCUCAAAAAUCGAAGAGGCAUCGUUCUCCGAAUCUCGAGAGCCAGAUACCACAGACCACUUUUUCAAAGUGCUCUGACAGAGUUAAAACAUGUGAAACUGGCAGCUCCCACUACCGUGUUAUGACCAAGCAGGGUAAAGGAAUAGCAUUACUACUUGUUAGGGAGACUCCUAUAUAUGUCGACCUCCAUCCCCAACGGACAGGCAGACCUGCAAAAAUGCUCAACCCUUCAUCAUAUCUGAGAGGGCACUCCCAACGAAGUCUUUCGAAAUAUUUAGCUUUCUUUCCCCCCGAUAAUACCUCUGCAAACAAGCUAUACUAGAGCAAGAAUAUCUCAUAUCAUCAGGGUUAAAAGCAAGAGUAUCCCAUAUCAUGCUUUUUCCCUGUCUUUUCCUUUGGCCUUGUUUUUACCUGCAAGACAAGGAGAAAGAGAGCAAUCAGUCAGCACUUGGAAUCAAGCUUCCAGCCAGGAACUGACUGCCUGGAACCCCUUACCUGAUUACUUACCUGGCAUUGCUCUCGAGUACUCAUCUUCAACAUCUUAUGUUUCCAGGGAAGAUUCCGCAUCUGCUUGAGGAACAGAUAGGGCAAGUGCGAAGGAUACAAGGAAGCAUGUGGAGACAAGCGUAACAGCACACGUGCCGAUACAUCCAUUACUCUGUCAAAAGCAAAAGUAUCCUAUAUCAGCAGGGUGGAACGUACUCUAGAUUUGAUGGACUUGUUUUGACCCUCAAAUUCUUCAGUCGGCCUUAUACUCUGGAGGAAACCAGAAAACCCUCCAGCUCAGUUCAAGAAUAAGCCUGUGGAAAGUUACUUCUUCAAAAGCAAAAGUAUCUCAUAUCAUCUUUUUUCAUUCAUUUUCUUCUCUUUAUCCUUCAUGCUGCUGCAAGAUGGGGAGAAGGUGAACAAUCAGUCGGAGCUCUGAUUGCUUACCUUGUCUGUCACCUCUUUCAGUAGACCCCCUAGCUCGGCGACUUGGGAGACUCCUACUACAUGGUUUGUAUCGCGCUUGACCAAGCCUGAAACUACAAGUAAGCUUCAAGUGAAAUUGAUACAUUACCUUGUGCAUCUCCACCAGUUAAAGAUACCACCCCUGGAUGGAGGAAGAGUACUUCCAGAGAAGAUGCCACAUCUACCUAUGAGACAGAUAAGGCAAGUCAAGACGACACCACACUCCGAUACUUAGAAGUUUCGUGAUUACGAGAUCAUUCUCCCACAAUAUUUCCUAAUGUCAUUUGUACUAAAUCAUUCACUUGUACUCACUAAAGGAGAGCUUGAACCUAUGUACUUGUGUAAACCCUUCACAAUUAAUGAGAACUCUUCUAUUCCGUGGACGUAGCCAAUAUGGGUGAACCACGUACAUCUUGUGUUUGCUUUCCUAUCUCUAUCCAUUUAUAUACUUAUCCACACUAAUGACCGGAGCAAUCUAGUAAAGAUCACAAAAAGCGACCGUUUUCGCUACCUAGGAUCUAUCUUGUAAGAGAACGGAGAAUUAGAUGGAGAUCUCAACCAUAGAAUACGAGCUGGAUGGAUGAAGUGUAAGAAUGCAUCCGGCGUGUUGUGUGACCGUCGUAGGCCACUGAAGCUCAAGGGAAAAUUUUAUAGGACGGCACUAAGGCCAGCGAUGUUGUAUGGCACAGAAUGUUGGGCGGUGAAGCAUCAACACGUACACAAAAUGGAUGUAGCGGAGAUGAGGAUGCUUCGUGGGAUGUGUGGGCACACGAGAAAGGAUAAGAUUGGGAAUGAUGAUAUCCGAGGUAAAGUAGGAGUAGCCGAAAUUGUAGGAAAGAUGAGAGAAAAUCGGCUCCGGUGAUUUGGACAUGUGCAAAGAAGGCCGAAUGACGCUCCGGUUCGAAGAUGUGACUACGGGACAGAGGUUCAGGGCCGAAGGGGUAGAGGAAGACCUAGGAAAACUUUGGAAGAGACUCUAAGAAAAGACUUAGAGUAUUUGGAUCUAACGGAGGACAUGACACAAAACCGAGCGCAAUGGCGUUCUAGGAUUCAUAUAGCCGACCCCACUUAGUGGGAAAAGGCUUUGUUGUUGUUGUUGUUGUUGUAUCUAUUUGGGUCUAGACUCUAGAUACAGAUAAUGGGCUCUUAUUGAUUUAUAAUGGAUUUGGAAAGAAUCUUGUAUUAACAUGAGUUACAAAGCCCACUUUCUAAAGAUGCAUUUUUACGUAUUUAGGCGAAGAUGAAUAUUUUAAGUCUUAUUAUUGGAGAGCUUUUCGGCCAAUGAGAAAUGUAAAAUGUCCAUUUCAUGGCGUUACAGAAUACUAGACUCAUCGUUAUAAUUACUUAUAAGUAAGAGACCCUAAAUUCAACCCAAUAAAUGACGAGUUCGAUGUCAAAUUAUUCUUGUAGACUCUUUAUAUGACUUAACCCACAUCUCCCAUGCCUUAAUGCAAACUAAAAUAUAGUUAUUAUGCAUGUGUAAAGCAAAAAGUGGGGUAAAUUAAACUUAUAUUUAAUUGUCAUAUUACCAACACUGUUCUAAAAAAUUUUACUUAGGUCGUGACUCUCACUUAGACAAAAAAAUUAAUAACUUUCAUUUUGCAUUUUAUUUUUUCAAUCAAUUAUAAGAGACUUAUUGAAUACUUUGAUAAACACUCAUUAUAUGUGUGUGCCCCAUGUUUUCAAUGUUUUAUACUUUAUAAUCGACAUAUGUCAUUUCAUUUUGUAAUUUAUAAUCGACAUAUUUAUACAAUAUGUAAUAAAUUUACUAAAUCUGCCUAGUUCGCCUCGGCCUCCGUUUAGGCCCCACCAAGGAGCUAUGCCCCAUCCAACCGCCUGAGUAGCGCUUAGCAUUUUUUUAAACUUUGAUUACCAAUGAUUAUGAAGUGAUUAAUUAAACUUAAUUAACAUAAAAAGAGUAUACUUGUCAUUUCACCCUUAGUUGUUUUUGUGUGAAAUAUAUAUGAGAAUAUGUUCCGUAUUUUAUUAUAUUUGGUUAUCUUUUCAAUCUCAUCAUUGCAAGCCUAUUAGGAUCAAGUUCCUUAAUACGCAGGCGAUUAAGGUGAACGAGAUUGUGGUAAUUACAAUUCAGGCUCAAGGUGAUUGAUGACGCGUUCAAAGUUCUUUAGAUUCAUUGGCUUCAAGGAACCUUCGUUUCUUUCAAUUUUUGCAACUUGGGUUUAUUAUGUUAUAAUUUCAUAUUUUUGUUUGCAAGCUUCCUCUUAUAUAUAUUGGAUUCAUAUUCUUCGUUUGUAUUAAAUCUAGGCUUGGCAAACGGGUCGUGUCUGUCGUGUUCGUGUCGUUUUCGUGUAACACCUGUUAUCUUAACGGGUCGUGUCGUGUCACACUCGUUAUCUUAACGAAUCCUUAACAGGUCGUGUCACAAGUGACCCGACCCGUUAUGACCCGUUAAGAAAAAUAUUUUUUUUUUUAAAUUUGCACAUACCACAUAUUACCAUAUAAAUAUUACUUCAAAACAUUAAAACAUUUGUCAUGUAAGUACUAUAACUACACUCGAAAAUAAGAGCCUAAUAAAAAAAUAAUACAUACACUACUAAUCUAUUAUAAAUAUUAAAGGGUAAAUUACAUAGUAGCCCCUCAGGUUUGAGCUCUAUUGCAAUCUCAUACAACAUCUUUAAAACAUUUCACUUUCAUACCUCAAGUACUAUUUUAUUUCAAUUUCAUACAACCGUUAGAUUUUUCAUCCAUGGAUCUGUUAAAUGCUGACGUGGUUGCCACAUAUAUGACACGUGGCUGCCAAAUGUCUGCCACGUGGCAAAUAAAAAUAAUUUUUAAUUUUUUUUAAAAAAAAAACAUAUCUGCCACUUUUUUUUUUUUGGGUAAAUUACAUAGUAACCCCUUAGGUUUGAGGUCUAUUGCAACCCCAUACAACAACUUUAAAACAUUUCACUUUUAUUCCUCACGUACUAUUUUAUUUCAAUAUAAUACAUCCGUUAGAUUUUCCAUCCAUUAAUCCGUUAAAUGCUGACGUGGCUGCCACAUUUGUGCCACAUGGCUGCCAAAUGUGUGCCACGUGGCAUAAAAAAUAAUUUUUUAAUUUUUUUUAAAACCACCUGAAUCUUAAAAAAAACUAAACUAAACUAAACUGAAACCCACCUCCCGCAACUCCCCACCCCCGCAAACAAACCCAGAAACCUCACCCUUCCCCCCCCCCCCAACCUCCUUCUCCUCCAUUCUCUUCACCUUUCCUCUCAUAAAAAAACCCAGCAAACCCCCACCCCACCGCCACGUUCCCCGAUCCUUUUCUUCUAUUCACCCCACCCCCUUUCUCCCUUCUCUCAUCUGCAAACCUAAUUCCAUUUCCAGACCACCACCAACCAAGCAUAGAAAAAAUUCAAAAUUUGAAAGGACAAAAUUAAAUACAUACCUCAUUGUCAGAGUUAAUCGAUAAGCAUGGUUCGAGUUGCAGAGAGGAGAAAAUAGUGGGUGAAGGGAUAAAGGGGGUAGCGGUAGGGGUCGGGUUCUGGGUGAGGAGGGUCGCGAGCGCACGGGGGGGGGGAGGGGGCGAGGGGAGGAUGAGGCGCGUCGAGCGCGAACGGGAAGGGGGGCCGAAGGAGGGUGGUGGGUUCUGACUGAGGUGAGUCUGGAAGGCAGGCGUAAGGCCUCUGUGGGUUGGGUGGGUGGGUGGGGGUGGGGGUGGGGGAAAACUGAACGAAUCUGGGUUGUAGGGUGGGGAAAAGAGAUCUGGGUUUUGGAGGGGGUUGCGGGGAGAUGGGAUAGGUUUAAGUUUUUUUUUUUUUAAUAAAUGAGAAAAUUCAAGUUUUCUAAAAAAAAAAUUAAAAAAAAUAUUUUGCCACGUGGCACACAUUUGGCAGCCACGUGGGACAAAUGUGGCAGCCACGUCAGCACUUAACGGAUCAAUGGAUGGAAAAUGUAACGGAUGUAUUAUAUUGAAAUAAAAUAGUACGUGAGGUAUGAAAGUGAAAUGUUUUAAAGUUGUUGUAUGGGGUUGCAAUAGACCUCAAACCUGAUGGGUUACUAUGUAAUUUACCCAAAAAAAAAAGUGGCAGAUAUGUUUUUUUUUUUUUUAAAUUAAAAAAUUAUUUUAUUUGCCACGUGGCAGACAUUUGGCAGCCACGUGUCAUAUAUGUGGCAGCCACGUCAGCAUUUAACAGAUCCAUGGAUGGAAAAUCUAACGGUUGUAUGAAAUUGAAAUAAAAUAGUACUUGAGGUAUGAAAGUGAAAUGUUUUAAAGAUGUUGUAUGAGAUUGCAAUAGAGCUCAAACCUGAGGGGCUACUAUGUAAUUUACCCAAUAUUAAAUGUGCAAGGAUAUGCAAAAUGAAAGAGUUUUUGUUUUCAAGGUUGUAAGUCUUUCUCAAAAGAUUAAAUCUCAGCCGAUCCAAAUGGUCAUCAAUUUUUUAAAUUUAAUUUAAUAUAUAUAAUUAUAUUAUAUAAUUACUAUAGUUUUUAGGGGUAUAAAAUUGUUAAAUUAAUAUAUAUAAUUAUUAUAGUUGAUUCAUACUUUUAUUAAGUAUAUAACAUAAGAUUUUGUGAUAUCCACAUCCACUAGUGUAAAUAUUUUAAAUUGAAGAUCAAAUUCAUUCUUUGUAUUCAUAUAUGGUCAAGGACUGUAGCUCUAAAAAAUCAUCAAAAUUGGAGUUAAAAUAACCGUUAAAUCGUGAUUUUUCGUUUAUAACCGUCGAAAAGUUUUGUCCCGUUACUUGAUCUCUGAAUGUUUUUUUUUUGUGUGAUUUUUUUGCUUAUGUGAUCUCGAAGCAUAUACAAACAAGUUUAACGGUUGGGAUCGUUGAAAUUAGUUUCGGAGAAUUUGUAUCCCAUCAAAACAAUAGAUUGACUAACACUUAAAGUUUAUUUAUACUUUCAUUAAGUAUAACAUAAGAUUUUGUGUUAUCUACUUGUGUAAAUAUUUUAAAUUGAAGAUCGAAUUCAUUCUUUGUAUUCAUAUAGGGUCAAGGAGUGUAGUUGUAAAAAAUCAUCAAAAUCGGAGUUAAAAUAACCGUUAAAUCAUGAUUUUUCGUUUAUAACCGUCGAAAAGUUUUGUCUCGUUACUUGAUCUCUAAACGUUUGUUUUUUGUGAUUUUUUGCUGAUGUGAUCUCGAAGCAUAUACAAACAAGUUUGACGAUUGGAAUCGUUGAAAUUAGUUUCGGAGAAUUCGUAUCACCCAUCAAAACAAUAGAUUGACUAACACUUAGAGUUUAUUUCUACUUUCAUUAAGUAUAACAUAAGAUUUUGUGGUAUCCACUUGUGUAAAUAUUUUAAAUUGAAGAUCGAAUUCAUUCAUUGUAUUCAUAUAGGGUCAAGGAGUGUAGCUGUAAAAAAUCAUCAAAAUCGGAGUUAAAAUAACCGAUAAAUCGUGAUUUUUCGUUUAUAACCGUCGAAAAGAUUUGUCCCGUUACUUAAUCUCUGAAUGUUUGUUUUUUGUGAUUUUUUGGUGAUGUGAUCUCGAAGCAUAUACAAACAAGUUUGACGGUUGUGAUCGUUGAAAUUUGUUUCGGAGAAUUCGUAUCCCAUCAAGUUCAAUGGUGUAUGUAUACAUAUAUAUAUAUAUAUAUAUAUAUAUUAAGUAGAUUUAAAUCUAUUUAUUUUGUAUGUAUAAUUGACCGGUACACAGAGUAGUACAUCACGUGUCAUUAUAAAAAUAGUGGGAUAUAUCAUGUGCGAUAAAAAGUUAAUAACUUAAAAAAAAAAAUUCUCACCACUGCACUUCUAUUAAUUUUCUUUUUUCCCUCUCUUUUUUGUUUCCUUUUCAACUUUUCAUAUAAUUUUCACUUUUCCCUCCACCCUAUCCAUCCAUCUUUCCCUAAUUCCCUCUCUUUUUUGUUUCCUUUUCAACUUUUCUUAUCAUUUUCAUUUUCCCUCCCUUUUUCUUCAAAAAGGGCGGCACUGCAGCAGGGAAUGGAAUGGAUCGAUUAUGGAAUCAAAAUUCAAAUCAAUGGAUGCAUACAUAUUAAUUAAUAAUUAUUAUAGUUUUUAUAAUUCAAAAUUUAAUAUAUAUAUAUAUAUAUAAUUAUUAUAGAUAGUUAAUAUUUUGGGGUAUAAUUAUUAUAGUAUAUAUAAUUAUUAUAAUUAUUAUAGUUAAUUUAAUAUAUAUAUAUAUAUUUAUUAUAGUUUUUAGGGGUAUAAAAUUGUUAAAUUAAUAUAUAUAAUUAUUAUAGAUAGUUAAUAUUUUGGGGUAUAAUUAUUAUAGUAUAUAUAAUUAUUAUAAUUAUUAUAGUUAAUUUAAUAUAUAUAUAUAUAUAGAUAUUUAUUAUAGUUUUUAGGGGUAUAAAAUUGUUAAAUUAAUAUAUAUAAUUAUUACAAUAUUUUUUUAGGGUUCUAAAAUUAUAAAAUUAAUAUUCUGCUUAUCGUGUAUCGUGUUACCCACGUGUAUACCCGAAUCAACCCGUUAUCUUAACAGGUGCUUAUCGGGUUACCCGAUAACGACCCGAAUCGUUAUCGUGUCGACCCGAACACUUGUUAAUUUCGUGUCGUGUCGGGUUAUCGGGUCGUGUCAGGAAUUGUCAGGCCUAAUUAAAUCUUGUAUUUACUCUUGUCAUAAAUGAAAUAUAUCUUUUUUUUUAAUAAACGAUAUUAUCUAUACUAAAAAUGGAUGAUUUUAGCCUCACAAUAAAAUAUAUCAUCUUUUUUAACAAAGAACUUUGAGCGAAAUAAAAUAAUAACAUAUAUAUAUUCCUUUAUUUGAUCUUGUAAUUCAUAUUACAAAUUCUUGACAUCAUCAAUGUGUCAAGAUGUCCACAUUAUUUAUUCUUCUCCUUUACUUGCUACGUAAAGAGAGAUACAUCAUCUAUAUGUAAAUCCCAUUUCAUUACAUGCUCAUGGGCAGAAUGUAAUGACGUAGUCAGGUCCGCCAUUGCAGGUGAAUGUGCUGUUUUUAUCAUCAUAAGCGUAGCUAUAAGCUUGAGGGCACUGCUGCUCAAAGAUCUGAGAGUACUCUGUGGGAGGACAUGUCCCCGGCUGAUCAUUCGGCGGCGUGCAGCAGUACUUCGGCUCACCGAAAGCCACGCAAGCACUUUUGCAACCGAUGACACUCCCAUCAGCCGCUUUCACUUGUAACUCAGCCGGGCAUGCCGCGUUAACAUCCGCAGGGCAAGUUGAGGCCUUGCACUCGCCGGUGCCGCCUUGUGGGGCAACGGACAUGGGCAAGUUGAAGCCGUCAACAAGGCUAACAUCGUAAAAAUCUUGACCCCCGUUUUCUGCGAUUGUGAUUUCUACUAAAGUUGCUGGUGGAGCUCCGCCUGCGCCGUUGCAUGCAACCUGGCCAGAGCCACAGUCUGCAGU
rnacentral:lncRNA from 1 species